AAGAUAAAUAGAGCUCUUUAAGCCUCUUUUGCAAAAAUUUUACUAUAAACCAAGAAAGCAGUUAGUUGCAAGAUUGUAGAAAUUACAUAUAAUGGCUCGCCGACCAUCAGCCGGAGGUGGACGGAGCUGGAGAUCUUGCUGGCCAUCAAUAAAACGUGGUAGAGGGAGGCCUUUCGGGAAGUCAAAUCCCUCAUCAGAGGUCACUCCUCGCAAUUUCUUUAGAGUAAUCCUCCAAAAUAUAAUUGAAGAAAAGAAACUCGUAACUGAUAAUCCUUCAAGAAAAGGUUAAUGACUCUUUUUUUUAUUCUGUUCUUUAUGAACUAACAGUUUUUCGUUCUUGAUGUUUUGUGGAAUACACGAAUAUAACACAUGAUUUUCAAGAGCAUCCCAUCAAAGUUAUUUGUCAAGAGACUUGGAAUUGAGCUUUCUGAUAUAGCACGAACAGCAAGACUGUCUCUUCGUGAUGGAAAAGUAUGGGAAGUUGAGGUAACAAAGAAUGAUAAAUACAUUUGGUUUGACAAAGGAUGGUCAGAUUUUGUUGAAGACAACUCAAUCUGCCAUCGUUACCUUCUAAGCUUUGAUUAUAAAGGAAACUCAAACUUUCAUGUCAUUAUCUUUGAUCCAUCGACUUUUGAAAUCAAUUAUCCAAACAGUGAUUUUGAAAAUGAAAAUGAAAAAGUCGGGCGUGAAAAUCAUGAUCCUGAACGUGAUGAUUUUAGAAAGAGGACAAAGUUGGAUCAAGCAAGGGGAAAAAUGACCAUGACUGAAAUGCGCUGCGCAUGCAAGGAGUGUAAGAGUAAGUUAUAAGAUCAGAUUCAGUAGGUUAAUUGUAAUGGGUUUAAUGUAAUUGUUAUUUGAAAUUGUAAUUAAGUUUAAUUCAAUUGCACAGUGUCUGAUUAUAGAUCGUAACAUACCUAUUGUAUAGUAUCGAAUGGAAAAAAAAGAAGAAUAUACAAAAUUGUUUUUAAGGAUUACUGCAUUGAGAAAAUUGAGAUAUAGAUGCAAAUGCAAUGUUAUCUUUCCUGUUUUGCUUUACUGCGUUUCUUCAACGAAAAAUGGCAAAUUUGUUAUGUAAUGAGAGCAAAUGUAGGCUGUUGCUCUUUUCACGAACUUGGCUUGUUUUUCCAUUUGGAGUGUGUAUGUCAGUAAAAUUGUCAAGUCGAGCAUUCUCAUGCAAUUAGAAUGCUUUAACUAAUUAUUUAAUGUUUUUUUAAAUAUUCGAAUGAGGGUAAUUUAAGAACUUUAAAGGUUACACUUAUUUUUAGUGAAUUUUUCAUAUAAGUCUUAGCAUGAACUUUAUUCUAAUUUUUCUCAUUUUUUUUAAUUUUAUGGGUAGGUGAAUAUAGAAAAAAGAAAGAGAUUAUGGCUCGAAGGUCAAUCACAUUUAAAACUCAGAUCGAAUUUGAAAGCUCUUUCCAUAUGUCUAGCCUGCGGAGCUAACUUUUAUGUUAAACGGCUAAAACCAGUGUUCUACCUAUUCGAAUCGGCGGUUCCAGUAAUUUUUUUAAAAAAAUUUUUCAAAUGGUUUUGUGAAAUCCUCAAAUUACCCUUGUUUGUCCAACUUUCACCCAAAUUUAGGUGGCCUCGCUCUUUCCUGGUUUUAAAUUGCAUGACACAACUCAAGUUAAAAGCUAAAUUGCUGAAAUUUUAUUCAUUUCUGAGUAGGGUUCUGUCCAUGGAUGGAGACCGCUCUUGAAUUCGGGCUUGUUGUUUCCUGUUGUUGAAUAUGUAUGCCAUGAAGAAUCGCCAACCUGGAAUUGGAGAUUUCAGAACACACAAACACUAUACCUGAAACGCAACACAUGAAAAUAUGACUACCCUAGACCAAACAAGACAACAGACUACAACAGCACCUGAACCAGAACACCAACAAUACAUACUAAAUAACCAGACAGAACCUGCUCAGACUUUACAACCAGGCUGGCCGUGGCUAUGAGCAAAGUCUAGGCGCCACACGCGUGCCAAAGGCUCCGGAGCCAAUAAACCAUGAAAGUGAAUGUUUAGAAAAAAAUAAAUAUUCUAGAACUCUCUUUUCCAACAUUCACAACUUCAAAAUCAGGAGGCAGAGAAGCCAUUAAAUUUUGUUAAGAGUUACAAAAUUAAUAAUGGCUCGACACCAACAACUAGGGAGAGAAGAACCUCUGGAAAUGGAGAACAGAAAUGGCCACCAUUUCUAUAGAGUAAUCUUUCAAAAGAUAAUUGAAGACAAGAUCCUGAUAAUUUAACACACAUAAAUUAUUCCUUACAUUACAUAUACAUAAUGCUACAGAGAAAAUGAUUUAUUUUAGUUUCUUUCACCUUAAUUUGCUUCUGUAGCCAGUUUUGGUCAUGGAGUCUUGAAUCUUGAAUUCUUGAUUAUAUUUUCUCUAAUUUCUUGAUUUGUCGGAAUAAUGUUUGAGCGGAUUCCGUUAAGGUUAUUUAUUAAAAGCGUAGGAUCAGACCAACUUCCUGAUUUAGCAAGAUUUGUGUUCCUAAUGCAAAUGAAUGGAAAGUGAAGGUAAGAAAACAUGGGAAAAAACAAUAUUUGUUUUGUUGAUGGAUGGUCAAAAAAAAAAAAAAAAAGAAAGAUAAAAAAAAAAACUCUUGCAAAAUUCAUUCUUUCAAAUUCAGAUGGCAGAGAAGCCUUAAAACUCUGUAAGAUUUACAAAAAAAAAAAAAAAAAUGAUAAUGGUUCGCUGGCCACCAGCUGUACAAAGAAGAAGGCCUGGCCUUCCACCAAAGGUGCUGAGUGGAAGACCUUGCUGGGAGUCAAAACCUCCAGCAGCGGAGAGCCCGCGUGGCUUCCAUUUCUUCAGAGUAAUCUUUCAAAAGAUGAUUGAAGACAAGAAACUGGUAAUUUGACACACAUAAUUAAAUUAUUCCUUACAUGCAUAAUGCUAAAGAGAAAAUGGUGUUUUUUAAUUUCCUUCACCUUAAUUUGCUUCGUAGCCAUUUUUGGUAAUGGAGUCUUGAAUCUUGAAUUAUUGAUGAUAUUUUCUUUAAUUUCUUGAUUUGUCGGGAUAAUGAUCCAGCGGAUUCCUUUAAGGUUAUUUGUUAAGAGGGUAGGAUCAGCAGAUCAACUUUCUGAUAUGGCAAGACUUUGUGUUCCUAAUGGAAAUGAAUGGCAAGUUAAGGUAAAAAAGGAUGGAGAAAAUAUUUGAUUUGUCGAUGGAUGGUCAAAAUUUGUGAAGGAAAAUUCAAUUCGCGAUCGCUAUCUUUUAAGUUUUGAAUACAAGGGAAGUUCUUGUUUUCAUGUUAUUAUCUUUGAUCGAUCUACUUCUGAGAUAACUGAGUAUGGAAAAAAUGAAGACAAAACCAAGUAUAAGAAUCAUGAGACAGAAUGUGAUGAUUUUAGAAAGAGGACAAUGUUGGAUCAAACAAGAAGGAAAAAGCCUAGGACUGACAAUGAGAUGGCCAGCUCAUGCAAGAAUAAUAGUAAGUUAAAAACCAGAUUCUGUAAGUUUAUUCAUAUAAUUUUAACUUGAAUUUAAAUUAACAUGUGGUGGAAUAAAAAUGCAGAGAACAAAGAAAAAAUGGAAGUCUGUUGCAGUAAGCAAUACCUGAAAUUUUCUAGAAUACAAUCACUGUCUAAAGAAGGCAGGAAGAAAGCAAUUCUUGCUGCUGAUACGUUUGAGCCCAUAAACCCUGCCUUUAAGGUUCUCUUGCGAUCAUAUAACUUCGAGCGGAGUAUGUUGGUGAGAACCUAAACUACUUAAUUAUUUACUUACACUGUGAUAAUCUUAACUAAUAAUCUAUGUGUACACAUAUAUAUGCAGCUGGUGCCAAGUAGCUUUGCUUCAAAGUACAUGACUAGGGUUUAUGAAGAAGCAGAAUUUGUGUGUCCUGAUGGAAGAAAGUUCGGAGUUAGAAUCAGUCUCUGGGGUCCUGGCUUGGCUUUUGGAAAGGGAUGGGCUGCAAUUUCUCAACACAUUAUGUUGAAAGAAGGAGAUGUUGUGAUGUUAGAGCUGAUCAAUAGUUUUAUUGGUUAUCUGUUUAAAAUCAGAGUGUUCCGAUCAUGAACGAUGUCUAGGUUUUGGGUUGUUGAAUUUCACGGGUUUUACAGUCUAAUAUAUGAUGCUGAUACAGUAAUUGUUCAGUUGAUUAAGCUUUUUGUUUAAUGUAGUGCGAUGCUUUUGUUGGAAAUAUUAUUGCCACUUCUAAUUCAAAUAUCUUUCAAAGGAUUAAUUAAAAGAUUUCUUAAAUGUGAGCGCAUAUAUGUGUGUGUCAGAAAUUUUUGGAAUUUUUCAGGAAGCAGAACAAAUGAAUUUUCUGUUGUGACUUGUGAUAAUAUAAAUAGAACAGAUCCAUAUUUUGACCAGUUUGCGAUGCUACUGCAAACAUUUAAAACCAGAAAAUCACAUGUUCUGAUCUUCACUUCCAUUUGCAAAUAAUAGAUCACCUACCUAGAAAUUGGAAACGUAAAUUUUCUGACCAGAAGCCAAUAUGGUUAUGGCAAUACUUGAUCAGAUCAUCUGACACUGAUUUGAAAUUUGCCGAGAGAUUGGUUAAAUCGCUUCAGUUUAUUCUUCUGAGAAGAUGAAUUAAAGAAAAUAAAUAUUGCUGUUAAAUUUACUGGUUGACAAAACAUGCAAAACCCAAUAUAUUAAAAAUGGAAGAAAUUUUUAAUGAAUGGAAUGGAACAAUUCCGGUACAUUGAUAAUGGAUCAGAUCCAUUCCUUUGCUCAAUAUUAUAAACCAUAAAAUGUGUAUCUUCCUCAGAAAAAUAACUUUAUAAAAAGUAAAAACUCUGUCUUGCAAGAUUUAUAUCAGGCUGAGAAGCCAUAAAACUCUGCAAGAAUUACAAAAACAAUAAUGACUUCCCGGCUAUCAGCUGAACAGAGAAGAUCGCCUGGCCGGACAUCAAAGAGACGGAGAGGAAGACCUCACCAGGAGUCAAAACCUCCAUAGCUGGAGAGCACACCUGGCCGCCAUUUCUUUAGAGUGAUCUCUGAAAAGAUAACUGAAGACAAGAGAAUGGUAAUUAACACACAAAAAUGGUUUAUUUUUAUCUCUUUCACUUAAAUCUUUAAUUUGCUUCUGCAUCCAAUUCUGGUCGUAGAGUCUUGAUUCUUGAAUUCUUGAUUAUAUUUUCUUUAACUUCUUGAUUUGUGGGGAUAAUAUUUUCAGCGGAUUCCGUUAAGGUUACUCGUUAAGAGCAUAGGAUCAGAUCGAAUUUCUGAUGUGCCAAGACUUUGUGCUCCUAAUGGAUAUGAAUGGCAAGUGAAGGUAAAAAACGAUGAAAGAAACAUUUGGUUUGCGGAUGGAUGGUCAAAGUUUAUAAAGGAAAAUUCAAUUGUGGAUCGCUAUCUUUUCAGUUUCAAAUACAAGGGAAAUUUUUUUUUUUCCAUUUUAUUAUCUUUGAUCCAUCUACUUUUGAGAUAACUGAGUAUGGAAAAAAAAAAUCAAAGAAGCCAGUCAAGAAAAUCACGAGACAGAAUGUGAUGAUUUUAGAAAGAGGAGAAAGUUGGAUGAAACAAAAGGGAAAAAGCGCAAGAAUGAAAUUCCCAGCUCAUACAAGAACAUACACAAAUGUAAUAAUAUUAAAGAAAAUUUUCUAUUAAAAAGAUUAUUAAAUACUAAUUUGGAUGUAAGAAAUGUGAAAUCAAUAGAUUUUACAAGCCAACCAGGUGUAACUUGUUUUUUUAUCACUUAUAUGGAUAAUAGAAGCCUCCAUUGUAUUUUUUUCUCGCUUAUGUGGAUAACGAAAAAUCUCAAUUUUAAGUUAUCUGGAUCACAAAAGUUUUCUCACUUCUAUUGUAUAGCUUGCAAUAUCAUUGGGCCAAAUUCUAUUCAUUAGGCCAAAUAAUUAUAGACAUCUUCUAUUGAGAUUUAAAAAAAAAAAAAAAAAAACUAUAAGAGAAUUCAUGUAAUACAAAACAAAGACAGUGUAACUAAUUAGUUUCAAAAACUAUAAUGUUUUAUACUACUGGUGUGCAAGUAAUUUUAUAUUUUUUUUGAGAAUGAUGUUUAAGAAAUUAUUUGAUUUAGUGUUUAAAAGUUUAAAAUUAUUUACAUUUUUCAAUUAAUUAUUAACAAUUUAAAAUUUGUAUAAAAUUUAUUUAAGAUAAUAAGUUAAAUUCUUUAAUUUAAAACUUUCAAGGAAUACAAUAAGUUUCUAAAUUGUAGGUAAGUCUUUAGCUUAGGUUCUAAGUCAAAGUGAUAAGUUAAAGAUACAUAAUUCGAAGAAAUUAAAUUUUAGUAAUUGGAAAUACCAAAGCUAACCUUCAUUUACAAAGGUAAUUAGAUAAAUAGAGCCCUUUAAGCCUCUCUUGCAAAAUCCUUUUUAUAAACAAAGAAAGCAGAAUUAACCGUUACAAGCCUGUAGACGUUACAUAUAAUGACUCGCUGGCCAUCAGCGGGAGGUGGACGCAGGGGGAGUCCUCGCUGGCCAUCAACAGAACGUGGCAGAGGGAGGCCUUUCCGGAAGUCAAAUCCUUCAUCAGAUGUCACACCUCGCCAUUUCUUUAGAGUAAUCCUCCAAAAUAUAAUUGAAGAAAAAAAAACUGGUAACUGAUAAUUUCAUAAUCCUUAAAGAAAGGUUAAUUACUCUUUUCUUUUUUGUUCUUUAUGAACUAAUAGUUUUUCUUUCUUGAUUUUGUGGAAUUAAAAACAUAAUAUAUGAUUUUGAAGAGCAUCCUAUCAAAGUUAUUUGUCAAGAGACUUGGAAUUGAGCUUUCUGAUAUUGCAAGAAUCGGAAGACUGUCUCUUCGUAAUGGAAAACUAUGGGAAGUUGAGGUUACAAAGGAUAAUAAAAACAUUUGGUUUGACAAAGGAUGGUCAGAUUUUGUUGAAGACAACUCAAUCUGCCAUCGUUACCUUUUAAGCUUUGAAUAUAAAGGAAACUCAAACUUUCGUGUCAUCGUCUUUGAUCCAUCGACUUUUGAAAUCAAUUAUCCAAACAGUAAUUUUGAAAAUGAAAAUGGAAAAGCAGAAUCAAGAACUGAUAAGAUGAUGGGGAAAAAGGAGGACAGGUUGGUUUUAAGCAAUGAAAAUGAGAAGGGUAAGCUCAAAACUAUAAUUUUAUAACUGAGUUCUUUCAUUUUUCUUUAUGAUUUUUAACAUUUAAUAUAUUAAAAAUAAAUAUAUAUGCAGAUGAGAAUAAAAAUGUGGAAGUGGAAGUUUAUUGCAGUGAGAAAUACCGGAAGUUCUUUGCAAAGGCGUCUGAUGAAAUCAAGAAAGCAAUUCUUGAUGCUGAUAUGUAUAAACCGACAAAUCCUGCAUUUAAGGUUCUCUUGCGACCAUAUAGUAUCAAUCGGAGUUUUCUGGUUAGAACCUGAUCAAAUAUUUACAAUUUCUAUUUCUUUUAGGAGAAUCUUAACCAAUUAUAUAAACAUGCAGCUGGUGCCAAAUAGCUUUUCUGCAAAGUACAUGACUAGGGUUUAUGAAGAAGCAAAAGUUGCGUGUCCUGAUGGAAGAAAAUUCCUAGUUAGAAUCAGAGGGUGGGGAACUGUUACGGGCUUGGCUUUUGGAACUGGAUGGGCCAGAAUUUGUCAACACAUUGAUCUGAAAGAAGGAGAUGUUGUGAUACUUGAGCUGAUCAAUAGUAGUAUGGAUUUUCUGUUUAAAAUCAAAGUAUUUCGAUCAUGAAUAAUAUCUAGGUUUUGGUUGGUUAAUUAAGCUUUUUGAACUCAUGAAUGUAAUAAUCAAUUAAAGCUUUUUUUUUAUAUCAGCAAUUUAAAUUUUAUUUAUUAAUCGAUAAAUUCAGAAAAAAAAUUAAUAUAUUUGAGUUUUAAAACUAAACUAACAGUCUCCGUAUACAUCCAACCUAAUUGAAAUAUAUGAAAAAUAGGUAUUAAUUAAAGCUAGAGUUGAAAAAAAUUUUCUGUUAGUGGGUUGAGUCAUUUCAAGAAUUAAUACCUUCAGUGAUGCUCUUUCAAGUUUUGCAACUGAUAUAGUCUUACUCUUCCAUUUGUAGCAAAUGAAAUAAUUAAUCUUGCAUGUGAGUUGGUCAGAACUGCUUAAUUAUUGUUGUUCUUUUACUUAUUGUUGUUCUUUUACUUCUUUUUGUUGAGCAAAUUGUUGCUUGCAACUUUUAGGUUUGUUAAUUAUGGUAAUUCAAGCUCAAAUAUUAAAAUACUCCAAACUCCAAAAUACAGGCUUUGGGCUCUAUUCGGCAGAAGCGUUUAAAGUAGUGUGUAGUGUUUUGAUAGAGUUAAAACAAUAUCUUAAUUUAAUUAUAGCAUUCGGUAAUAUAAUAUAUACUCUAGCAUUUAGAGUUUAAGACGGUAUUUUAUGAAACGUUAUCUUCAUCAAUCGUUUAGCAUUUUAUAAUCUUUUUAUGAUACCUAUACCAUCAAUUGUUUUUACUUUAUUCCUCGCUUUUACCUUAUUCUUCACUUUUAUAUUUUUUUGUCAUUUUAUAUUAAACAACUAAUUAAACAGUUAUUUGUACUAGGCACUUUUAUUUUAACUACUGUAUAAUCAUUAAUUACUAAUAGCUGAUAUUUAAUAGCUAACAACUAAUAAAACACUUAACAGCUAUUAAAACAGCUAAAAGUUACUAGACUACUAGAACAGCCAAAUUUGCCGACAGACAGAUGAGAAAAUAAUUAAGUUUUAUUAAUUAUCCAAAUACUAAUUGAUUAUAGAGUCAAUUUUUCAACGUUUAAAAAAAACUAUUGUAGGAUUUUUUUUUUUUUUUUUUGGAGUAUAAUAUUGUAGGAUUUCCAGUAAUUAAACAAUUUAAAUUUUUUAUCACAUAAACCAUUUAAAAAUCAUUCAAAUUCAGCACCUAAAAUUAAAAUUAUUAGCAUAUGAUAUAUGAGCCGUAAUUACAAGAAUAUGAAAUCCAUUAAGGACAUAUAGAUCAACCCAGGAACGGAAUGAAUAGAUAUUACAAUUAAAUGAUUACAAAUAUAAUAAUUCAAUCUGAGUUUCUUGUCGAGACUUCAAAUUUGCCAUUUUGGGUUGGAGAUGAUUUGCUGAGUCAUCAACUUUAGAGGGUAAGACAAGUAUUUAGUCAAUUCGUAGAGUUAUGGUGUCGGGUCUCUGUCUACAAAUAAUUGUAACCUUUCUCUGGAAACCACCACGAUUCUGUCAUAAAUCAUCACCGAAUCGAAAUCAAACCAUGGUCGAUGCUUCUUGAUUCUAAAUUAAUUCAAAAUCAUAUAUUUAUAAUUUAGUUCUAAUUUUCUAUGUUUUGAAAUUAAAACCGCAGGUUUUAGUCUACAGCCGGUGAUUUCUUUGAAAAAAUAAAAUUUAAAAUCAAAAAUUAUGGAAAGUUCGUCCAACUUUUUUUUAUUUUUUGUAGUUUAUUAAAUAAAUUUCAAGAUUUUUUUAUUUACCUCUUUUAGUCUUUUAUUAGAAGGAAAAAAAAAAAAUCCGACGAUUUUCAAAUUGUUUUAAGAACAACCCAAAAUCGUUGCAUUCAAAACCGUCGGUUUCGGAAACGUGUUCCUGCCUAUCUCUGUCCUUUCUUUUGAUGAACUCUGCCUCCCUGCGGGGCCAUAACCGGCUAAAAAUAAAGACUAGAGCUAUCAACAUAACCAUGAAAGCAAUACCCGUUUUUCUCAUACCAGAAUUCAGAUAAAAAAAAAACAUGAAGUUCUUCCUUUAUCUACAAGUAACCUUGUACACCAUUCUUCUUGCUAUAAUCCCAAUCUUUCUAGCCAUAAAAGUAAAACACAUCAGAAACGAGAAAAAUGAAAACAAGCCACCAGAACUAGCAGGGUCUUGGUCGGUUAUCGGUCACCUUCAUUUUCUUGGUAGAUCAAACCAGUUACUACACAGAGUAUUUGGCUCCAUAGCUGAGGAACUUGGACCAAUCUUCUUUAUCCGCCUCGGAAUUCAUAAAGCAGUUGUAAUAAGCAAUUGGGAAUUAGCAAAACAAUGUUUUACUACAAAUGACAAACUCUUUCUUACACGUCCAAAAUCUUUAGCAGCCAAAAUCAUGGGUUAUAAUCAUGCUAUACUAGGUUUGGCACCUUAUGGUCAAUACUGGCGUGAUAUGAGAAAGCUAGCCGUGGUUGAACUCCUCUCAAAUCGCAGGCUCGAGUUGCUUAAGCAUGUUUGGGAUACAGAAACUAAGUUUUUUAUCAAACACUUGUAUCAGAUUUCAGUAAAGAAUGGAGGAUGUGCUGUGGUAGAAAUGAAAGACAAGUUUAAUGAAUUGGCGAUGAAUAUAAUAGUGAAAAUGAUUGCAGGUAAGCGAUCCUUUGGUAGUUAUGGCAUCACAGACCAAGAUUCGAGGCGAUUUUCUAAGGCUUUAGCAGAUUUUUUCCGUUUAGCUGGGUUGCUCUUGGUUUCUGAUGCAAUUCCAUUUCUGGGUUGGUUGGAUUCUUUAAUGGGAUAUGUUGGUGAAAUGAAAAGGACUGCAAGGGAGAUAGAUAGUGCUUUAGGGAAGUGGGUAAAGGAGCAUAGAGAAAGAGGCUUAAAGGAAGUGUUAAAGGGGAGGAUCAAGAUUUCAUCCAUGUUAUGCUUUCUGUCAUGGAUGAUGGUAAGAGCUCUAUUGAUGAAAUUGAUAGAACUAUUAAGGGCACUUGCUUGGUAAGAAUCUAAUAAUUUUUCCUCUUUUUCUUUUUUAAUAUAUUAGGGAGGAAGCCCGAAUUUGAGUCUAUUCCUAAACCAAGAGAUGCACUAUCAUUAAUUUUUCCUUUUUAAAUUGAUUAUUAUAUCAGUAAGUUAAACCAGUAAGUGUGAUCACCUAGUAAUUUUAAAUUGAAAUGAAUCUCUUAUACAGUUUAGUAUAGUUAUACCAGUGGAAUACCAAAUGGCAUUCCAGAUAAAUGGUAUGAAACAACUCAAUUGGUAAAUGGUUUUCCUUCCCAUUUAUUGAUCAAGAUUCAAAUCCUAGACUAUGUAUUUACUUUUUCUUAGAUUUUUUAGUUCAUGUAUUAAUCUCUUUAUUUACAAUGAAUAAUUAUGGGAUUAAAUAUUAAAAUUAAUGUAAAUUCAAUGUUAUAUUAUCUUCCUACAGUUAAAAACAAACACUUGGAUAAUAGCAAUUUUGAGGUUUAAUAUAGAGACCAACAUUUCAUCCUCCUAUGUCCAAUACAGAUUUGUGUAUAAAAGCAUCCACUUUCUUCUAUACUUUUAAUACCAGACAAAAGAAGUUGCUAUACUCACCUGUCACUUGCAUGCUAAAUUUAACUUUGUGCGUUGUGGAACUUACGUGUAUUAGUGUCUUAGCAGGAUGAGAAGGCAACAUAUCUGAAAGUAAAUAAGAAAGUUGGUUGGACUAAAUGCCAUUUAGACGAGUUAUAGAAAAAAGCUAAUAAAUUAUAUGCACUCAACAUUUGAAGCCACAUUUUCAAGAUAUUGGUUGUCAAAUCACACCUAAGAAGUUUAAUAACGCUAUCAAACAGCAUAAUGGACAUUGUUAUCAACAUCUUUUUCAUUUUUCUACUUUAAUCUACACAACAAAAAUAGCCACCCUUAUUAUAUAAAUUAUCAUUUUCUACUUUAAAUAAUUCGAGUCAAAAACGUUUUAGUUGAAAUUUCAAAAUUUCAAUUUUUGAACCAUUCAAAAAUUUUGGCUGAUAUUACAUGUAUUGCAGAGUCUAAUUUUGGGUGGCAAUGAUACGACGAUGAUCACUCUUACAUGGGCUCUAUCUCUGUUGUUAAGCAACAGAAAUGUGCUUAAAAAGGCUCAAGAAGAGAUUGAGAUCCAUGUCGGAAAGCACCAUCAAGUGAAAGAGUCACAUAUAAAGAAUCUAGUAUACUUACAAGCUAUUGUCAAUGAAACAUUGAGACUGAACCCUGCUGCUCCACUCUCAGCACCAAGGGAAGCCAUGGAGGAUUGCACCAUAGCGGGCUUCCACAUUCCAGCUGGCACUCGCCUUUUCGUUAACCUGUGGAAAUUACACCGUGACCCUAGCAUUUGGAAAAACCCUUCUGAAUUUCAGCCUGAGAGGUUCCUGAAUGAGCACGCUAAUCUAGAUGUAAGGGGUCAGGAUUUCGAAUAUUUACCUUUCAGCUCUGGUAGAAGAAUGUGCCCAGGAGUAUCAUUGGCGCUCCGGGUUUUGCACCUAACACUGGCUCGGCUGCUUCAUGGGUUUGAAUUGGGGACGGUAUCUGACACUCCAGUUGAUAUGAGUGAGAGUCCUGGAAUGACAGUCCCUAAAGCAAAAGAACUGGAGGUUGUCUUGAGGCCAAGACUACCCGCAGUGCUGUAUGAAUGUUAAGUUGAAUAAGUACCAAGGAAAACUAGAGACUUGUAUAUGCAUACUGGGUGUAAAGAAUUCAGGCCAGAAAUGCCAUCCUCGUUGCAUGGAGAGCAUAUAGUCACUUCAUGAGAACAAUUCUUUUCAUAGCAUAAGUAACAUUACCGAGAUGUUAUUAAUCUGCAUUGUAACACUUUAGUUCUUCAGCAAACAAACAAAGAUUUAAGUUUAGUAAACUAGUCAAAUGAUAAGCAUAUUUGCAUUCCAAUUAAAUGUUAUAAGUGUAUUACACAUCAUAAAUGCUCCAUAUUUUAACCAGAGCUUAGUUAUAUAACACAUGAGAGAAACAGAACUACAAGCUAGAUAGUUUUGUGAGGACGACUGGAAUGACUUGUCAGCCAGGGCUUAUUUGCAAUUCCAAAAGUUACAUCUACUUUACUAUAUAAAAGCUGACCCGAAAAGUAUCCUAUCCCUGUUAAGAGAAGCCAUACUGUUUCAAUCCCACUUCGGAUUCAGAAGGGCCUAACACGUACAAAACUCAUAAAAAUAUGAGCAUAUAUGAUAAGCGCUGACAACAAGUUUAACAGACAGGAGAAUCAAACUGUUGACAAUGGGCAUGUAGAUGCCCUUCUCAUCAUAAUACAAUAUCUCAAGGAUGAGCUUGUUUGAAGCUAUCAAUGGCUAUAGGGACAUCUGUACCUCUAACGCAGAGUUGCUCAUACUCAGUUGACUGACCCCUCAGUGCACAUCUUGCAGCUAAUUUCAGGCAUACACACCCAAUGAACAACAAAAUUCCAGAGAGUAUCCAACUGAAUUGCAAGUUGGCCAGUGCUCUAGCCUUUAGUUCUGCAUCAACAGAUCUGCAUGCAAUUGCUCCAUGCAUGUCAUUUGAGCUGGCCACAGACAACUGUGUAACACAACCUUCAGGUAUAAAUUCAGGAAUCCAUAGCACAAAACCCAUAAUCAUAAACCAACACCCUUGAAAUACAACAGAAAUUGAAAGAAUGAGAGCUGCAGGAAAAUUGGACGGAAAAGUAGUUGCCGCUAAAGCUGACACAAGAGAAACGAACACUAUAAGCUGCAAGAGCCAAUGAUAAUGACCUUCAAGUCCAACAUGGUCAGUUGAAUGGAAAUGGAGAAGGAAAAGUUCUUGACCAAAAACAGAGGUUGCAAGGAUUCCACUGACCCCGGAAAGGAUAUCAGAUGAACAGGUUAUCUCUGCAGAAAGUGUGAAACCUGCAAAUAUUGCAAGAUGGAGAAACAUGGUUGCAUGUUCAAAGUUGUCAAGCUUGAAAGCAAAGUGGAGGUACGGGAAGUCCAAAAGUUGCAUAAAAAUUGCAAAGAUGGAGAAAGAUAGGAUGAAGAUAAGCUCCAAACAUUUGAUACAUGAAAAAGGGCCGUAAAAUGGGUACCAAAACUUUACAGUAAAGUUAGUAGAGCCUCUCAGGCAGUAGGCUCGGAUAGUGUUAACGGAGUGCCAUAAUCCAAGGAGGAUUAAAGCCAAAGCAGGUACAAAGUGCCCUACAAAUGUCCCCAUGCAAGCUUCUCUUAUCUCUCUCCAUUGAAAUAACCACCAGAAGCCUUAAAUACCUGAAGUAGUUGCUAACACAUCAUAGGAAAAAAAUUUUCAAACGGCAGAACAGUAUUGCAAUCUGUCCAAAUUGAGUGCAUCUUGCAUGUGUUUCCACAAAUAAAACUGAUAAAAAAGACAAGCAUGUAACAGUGGGACAUCACGAAAGAAGAAGGGUCCCCCAAUAAGAGAAAGAGGAAUUUUAUAGGGUCACGGAAUUUGACGGUGUCACUUGAUACUCUAAGAGCAUCAAAAUAAUGAAAUUUCAGAAGUGAUUCAACAUCAGUCAUUCAGUUUAAUUUUUAACGUCAAAGUCAUAAUAAUCAAUGAAUAAGAGCUCAAUUCUUCUGUUGAUUACUAUGAUUAGGUUUCUGUUGUACCACAUAGUCUUUGUGCCAUGUGCAAAAGAUAUGACUCUUCAGGAUUCUGAAGGACAGAUGAUUAACUUAUCUGCACAUAGUGGAGAGUGACCUGUCUCCAAUUUAUCAACCAUAGCAAGUAAGAUGUUCCCACUUAAAGAAAUUGACAGUCAUAUUACAACAAUAAAGUUACAGUCAUAUUACAACAAUAAAGUUAGUAAGAUUCAAGAUAUAUUACCUUCUACUGUAGUAAGAUAUGAAUGUUUGCAUUUGAGUCCAACUCCACUUCAAAAAGUAAAGUUUUUCACAACCAGGAAAAGCAGAAUACGAAGCCUGGCAGAAUCAUAAAAAAGAAAUUCAUGGAAAGACAUUAUUGGGACAUUUGAAGUUAUUUGCGAUUCAGGCAUUUGGAGACUAGCCUCUUUCAAUUUCCCCUCCCUUAACUUUCCUAGAAUCAUAGUUAGUCACAAUGGUAUAAAUAAAACAUUUCAUAGAGUUCACCUUUUCUAUUGAAAUUUCAAAUAAUAUGAAGCCAUACCGAGAACAACAGAAGCUAUUCCAUUUACCUAGAUGAAUGAAGCCUAAACAUCCAUAAGCAACUUUGUGAUCCAACAAACCAGGGAAGUUUUAAGAUGGUCAGGUCCCUCGUAUAGAAGGAAGCAAUUCUGCAGUUCUAUACGUUUCUACUAAUGAAAGCAUCACUGCAACAGAAACAGAGCCGCAAAAAUAUUUUCAGUUGCAGGAUGAAUAAGUUUGAUGCGGAAAAUGAUAGGAUAAUAGGAAACUAUCAAAGCUGAGCAUGUUCUGAAGAUUUUAUAUAUGAAAAGUUUAGUUCUGGUUCUAAAACUACAUCAACCAACAAAGAAACUAGUUUAUUAUUCAGGGUUUCUGUUUGCAAACUAAAGGGAGAAGUUUUAAACCCUUGUUUUUAGAUAAGAAAAAAAUGGUAGGAUAACCUAUUCGUUGAAGAAGCCAGCGAAUAGGAUAUCUAAUAUUCUAGCAUACUUUUAGUACCAUUCACCUGAAUGACUCUUGUCACCCAAACAUAUCAUGCUGAAGGACCAAACCACACCCCUACUGAGACAAAUAACAUCAUAUCUAAGCACAAACAAACAAAGCUGUUACUGCCAUCAGAUUCCACAUUAAUGCCCCAAUUAGAAACAUUCAUCAUGCAAUACUAUAUAAGCUAACUGAAAGUUAAACUGGGAUAGAUCCAGCAGGAAGUAAAUAAGCAGAUGAAAUAGCAACAUGGUUGCUUUCUUCUCUGACGAAUGAUUUAUACUUGGAAGCAUUUCAUCAAGAUAAUUGACAAAACUAUAGCUUCAUGAAAUACUCAAAACAUCUAAAUCUAAAUCAUAGUCUAAUUGAAAGUACAAAAUGGAAUAUAAGGCUUAAGCAUGUCUUUGAUGAGAAUAAGAGGAAAAUGAGGAAAUAAAAUUUAAAAAAAAAAAGUAGAAGCCGUUUUAUUUCUUCCAAGAUACACAAAAUCAUGGGGUUUUGUUUGUUUCCCCUAUUAAGUUUCAUUACAUAUAUUGCAUAUCAAAUGGUUACUCUGAUUAAGCACGCUUCAUAUAUUGAUUCCAGCAACUUAGAAAUAUAAAGUUGUGCAACAGGGGAACUCAGUAUAUUUACAAAUAAGGAAGAAGUUAAUUUUAAAAAGUACAUAUAUAUAUUUGUAUUCUCACAGUAAACCGUCUCACUCCAACAGUCAAGUAGUUAAUCAUAGAGAACCACAAUCAGCUUCUCAGUCCACAGUUGCAAAUUUAUUAGGAAAUGCAGGUUUUGAGCUAAUCCCCUCAAAACUUCUAACAAUUCGAAUGUUGUUGUCAAACAAAUUGAUUAUGAAUCACUAGUUUUGCGCAAGUCGUCAGCAUUUCCCAUCGCCUCAAUCAAAGAAAUGUAAGUGCUAUCAUCAGGGGCAAUGCCUUUACUAACCAUUUCUUUGAGGAGCUCUUCAGCAUGCUGUCCUUCCUGGUUUUUGCACAAACCCUGUAUGAGGGCAUUAUAAGUAAGAAGUGUGGGAUUGAAUCCUAUGCUCAGCAUCUCAUCUCUAACUUUAAAGGCAUCAUUCAUAUCACCUCUCCUACUAUACCCACUAAUCAAAGUAUUAUAACUAAUAUGAUCAGGUUUAAUUCCUCUGCUCUUCAUCUCUUCAAGAAGCUUGCGAGCUUCUUCAACUUUUCCCUCCCUACAACGGCCUCUCAUUAGGGUAUUGUAUGUCACUUCAUCAGGAAAAACUUUCCUUGUAUCCAUCUCCUUCAACAAUGCAAAUGCGCGAUCUAUAUUCCCAUUAGCACAGUGACCAUCAAUCAAGGCAUUGAACAUUAUAAGAUCUGGAAACACACCUUUGCGGACUAUAUUUUCAAACAGGUUGUCAGCUUCUCUCAUUCUAUUCCGUUUAUUCAAAACAUAUAUUAGUGAUGUGUAAGUUAUCCGUGUAGGCUGAAUGCCUUUACCUACCAUUUCAUUGUGAAGGCUAAAUGCUUUCUUUGCAUUCCCGCAUCUGCAAUAUCCAUUAAUCAAGAUGUUAUAGGUUAUUGAAUCAGGAAAUAUCCCUUUCUCUCCCAUGUUUUUUAUCAUAUCAUCAGCUUCAUCCAUCUUACCUUCCAAAAAUAAUGCAUGAAUCAACAAAUUAUAUGUAGACACAGUUGGCAAUAUACCUCUCUCAACCAUCUCAUUCCUAUAGCCAAAAGCCUUCUCCAAAUUCCCUUUAUUGCAGUACCCAUCUAUCAAGGUAUUAUAAGUCACAGCAUUUGGUCGCAAACCAAUUUCCUUCAUUUUCUCAAGCAGUCCAGAUGCCUCCUCAAGUCUUCCUUCUUUACACAUCCCACUAAUAAGUGAACCAUAGGUGUACGAAUCAGGUUCAAUGCCCUUAGUUUUCAUUACAUCAAGAAUCAUUCGAGCACCUUCAACUCUCCCUCUCCAACAAUAUCCAUGAAUUAUUGUGUUAUAUGUAACUACAUUAGGCUUAACCCCUAAACUCUCCAUAAACCCAAUAAACUCCUUAGCCUUCUUUAAUUUCCCUUCCUUGCACAAAACAUUGAUCAUUAUAUUAAACGUAUAAACAGUUGACUGAAUCCUCAACCUAAACAUCUCUGCAUACAAAACCCAAGCAACAUCUGUCCUAUUCAACUUCAGAAACAAACUCAACAUAUCAUUACAUGUUUCGAUCUUAGGAACUGUACCUUUUUUCUUCAUCAUAUCGAAACACAUAAAUGCAUUAUCACCUCUCUUCAUUUCACAACAAGCCCUUAUCAACAAAUCAAAAAGAAUAGAACUUUUAGUAUUUAACUGAUCCAGAGCACUUUCCAGCUCAUUAAAAACAUCCUCAACGGUAGCAAUAUUACUACUAAUGGUUUGUUUCAAAAGUUGCAAGCUAGCUUUUGGGGAUGGUGACGGAGAGAUUACAGCAAUGGCAAGGCAUUUGGUUUUGAUAUCAAGAGAGUUAAAUUCAAUGUGGGUUGUGAAUUGAAGAGCCAAAUCAGGUUUUUUUUGGAGGGACAAUAAAGUAGCGGAAACAAGGGAGGGUGUUAAGCUUGGAGCAAGGUGUUUGAUAAAAUGCCAACGAGAAGAUUGAAUUGACUUGAGCAGUUCUUGGUGGGUAGUUACUGGCGGUGAAGUUGUGGAAAAGUUUGCGUAGAUCUUCCGCGUCUGUGGGUGGUCAGUAUUCGGGCUUGGAGUUGAAGAGAGAAGUGAAUAGCAGUGAAGUUGAUAUGGGGCGGUGACAAAGGCGGGGUUGAGUUUACUGUGUGCAAGCAUUUGAGAAUUUAGAACUUUGUAAGGUCCCAUAUUUAGUGGUAAGGAAUUGGAUUCCUGUAAAUCGAUUGCCAAAAGAGAGAUACAAGCAGAGAGAGAGAGGGAGAGGGAGAGGGAGAGGGAGAGAAAGAAGACCAGAGGGUUAGGCUAUGGCAUUGGCGGCUUCAAACGGCAGUCGUACACUAAGCCUGGCAAGUACAGUUUUUUUUUAACUCAAAGUCUCAAACGACAAUGAGUAAGGCAUGUUAAUUUUAUUUUUAUUUCUCGCAUUAUUUAUUUAUUUUUUUUUAGGCAAAUAGAGCUUAAAGCAUUGCAUUGGACUAGGAUUGUGUAAAAUUUUUUUAAAAAAAAUUGAGUUUGAUAGAAUUAAAGUAUUCUUAAUAUUUUCACAAAUUUCUUAGAAUUAUACAUAGAAUUUUAUGGAAUUUGUGAGACUUUUUUUCAUAGAUUUUAAUUGACUGUAAUGAAAUUAGAAUGAAUUUUAUAUAUUCAAUAAAAAUUAAUUUCAAACAUAAUUAAAUAAAUUAAAAAGUUUUGGGCUCAAUUAAAAAACUAAAAAGUAAUAAAGGAUCAAAAAGUAACUUGUGUCAUUUUUUCUGAAAUCGUUUUUUUUUUUUUUUUCUUAGUUAAAACCUUACCAUCCACGACGAUGAAAGAUCUGCAAAAGCCAACAACUGUCACAUCAGAAAAUAACAGGUAUAUAUAUAUAGCUCGCGCAAGGAGGCGAUGCAUAUUGAGACAGCCCUGAUGCACGGCCUAUCGUUUGCAGCUCAUGGAGCCAAGCGGUCCGACCACAAUAAUGAUAGAUUGUAUUCUUCAACUAUUUCAGAGCUUUUUCAAUUUUUUUAUUGGAUUAAUCAUUAUCAAAUUGAAAUCAUCCCAUAAAACUUACAAAAAAUAAUUAAAUUAAUUAUGAAGCAACCGCGUUAAUAUUAAUUUUUAUCAAAAUAUCAAAUUUUCAGCAAAUGAAUUAAUUCAAAACUAAUCUAAUAAUUAAUAUAUUAAUUCACACUUUAAGGAAAGGGAUGAAAGUGGUACAAAAAUUUUAUGGCACCCACUUCUUUUCGCUCCGAUUCAUUUAAAGAGGAUAUAAAUAGUUAUAAAUGAGUUUGAAAUAGAUAUGGACAGUUAAAUUACUACUGUAACGGAUAUGAAUAGAGAAAUUACUAUCCAUAAUAGAUACAGGUAGGAUAUAAAUAUAAAUAUUUAGAUACCCGCUACUCAUCAACUGUUAUAUUAAACAAGCUUGGUAGUGGGUACCUGUAGGCAUUCUAUCCAUUAUUAAUAAAAAUGUAUUUUAAAUAAGUUUGAAUUCAUGUAGUUUAAGAUUCGUCAGUACGCUACCACUUUCAAAAGUACUUUAAACGAGAGUUUUACACAUAUACGAGUGGUAGAACUUAAACAAGUUUGAAUACUACACUUAAAUGAGUAUUUAAAUGGAUUUAGAAUGAAUAUAAAUAGUAAAAUUUAAAACGGGUAUCUAUGCAAGUAGUUUAAAUUUUGCGGGAACUCGCUCCACUCUCAUCCUUAUUAAGGAUUCAUACUCUGCUAGAUUUUAAAAGAUUUUUGAAAUCUUUGAGUUUGGAGAUAAUUUAAAUUUGCGAAUGACUAUUUUAUUCAUACCUAAUACUUUAAGAUCCAACGAAAUCAAAAAUUUUAUAAAAUAUUUCUACAUCAGUAAUUUUUUGAAUAUCAUCGGAUUUGUAUAAACUUUUAAAAAGUUAUAAUUGGACUUUAUAAGAAUACCAUCAUAAUUGACUCUUAAAAAAUCAUAAUUGAAUACUAUCAAAUUUUUAUGGAUUUUAUAAGAAUUUGAAUUGAAUAUCAUAAGAUUUUAAUAAACUCUGUAAAAAUAUAAAUUGAAUACCAUUAAAAUUUUAUAAUAUUUUAAAAUAUAAAAGAGUCUUAACGUAUAAUACACCACUAAUAAAUAGAAUCGAUUCAUUCGACUCGUUUAUUAACUCAAUUGCAGCUCGUAGCCGACCUCACCUCCUCUCUCCUAUCUCCAAAUCCAAAGCAUACAGAGAAAGAGGCAAGAAUCCGUUUCGACGAAAGAGCUCGAAAACGAUGUCUUACGACGAUGUGGAGAUAGAGGACAUGGAAUGGAACGAGGGGCUACAAGCUUACACAUACCCGUGCCCUUGCGGCGACUUAUUUCAAAUCACCAAGGAGGAUCUUCGCCUCGGCGAAGAAAUCGCCCGCUGCCCUAGUUGCUCCCUGUACAUCACCGUCAUUUACAACAUCGAAGAUUUCCUCGACGAUGGUAAAUCAACAAAGAAGAAGAAUAUCGAGCCUCGGAAGCAGCAACCAAUCGCUGUCGCUUAAAACGGAAGUUCAAGGUUUUCUAAAUUAUUCGUUGUGUCCUUUUGCGAGUUGAUAGGUUAAUCGCUAGGAUAGUCAUAUUGUGUUUUAGUCCAAUUUUGACCGUGAUAUUUGUCUGUUCGAUUCUCACAUAGGAUCAAGGGUUGUAUGGAUAUACUUCGAGUAAACAACGAUUGGAACAAUAUUGAUUAUAGUUUGGUAUUGAGAUGUUAGUUUCUUUGGUGUUUUAUUUUUUAUUUUUUAUUUUUAGUUUCAUUUAUGUUCAAUAUAUUUUCUGAAAACUGUAAUAUUGUCCUUAGAUGGAUGAUUCAUCUUUGGUUGCUUUUGUUAUGGGUUUCUUUAGUAUAUGGAGUUGGGUUGUUUUCAGGUUGUUUGAAUUGCGAAUAGCUCUGGCCUUUAAUGGGUUGAAGCUUUCUUAGUAUGCUGUUUGUGCUAUAAUUGGUGAACCAAAAAAAAAACAGAAUAUGGUGUAGGAAAUGUGUUCCAUGGAUGAUUAAUCUUUUGGUUGCUUUUUGUUACCCUUUUUUUCAUGUGUUAAUUUGCUUGAUUUCUCGCUACCUCAUGCUGCAAAUUGGACUAAUCCACACGAAUUUCAUUUCGAAUUCAUGUGUAAAUAAAUUUAAGUAGCUGGCUUUGAUAGAUUUUACUGAGAAUAUAAUCUUAGUGCCUUAUACCCUUGUUAAGUUUAGAGUUCAUUUGCACAUUCUAUCAAUUUUGAUAGAAUUUGGUUCAAGCAUGCGUAAACCAAUUUUGUGGAUGUAGAUUUCUGAAUGAACUUUCAUUUAUAUCAAACAUGAAAAUGUGAACUUUUCAAUGAAUUUCAUGAAAUUUUGUCGAGCUCAUUUAUAUGAAACAAGCUCCUACAGGUUUCUUUAGUAUAUGGAGUUAGGUUAUGUUCAGGUUGUUUGAAAAAUAACUCUGGCUUUUUAAUGGGUGGAAGCUUUCUUGGUAUACUGUUUGAGCUUUAUUUGGCAAAUCGUGGUGAAGGGGAUGUGUUUCGUUGAGCUGGGUCUUAGAAAUUGUGAGGAUGAAGAAAUGGGCACUAUUUAAAAAUCUGAGGAAACAUUUAUUCUAUCAUCCAUAGAGUUGAAAACAUUUUAGUGUAGAAAAGCAAUAUUCAUCUUAUGUUCCAAUUGGUGGUUGGCCAAGUUGCUUGUUUUUAGCAUUUCUCCUUCUGAAGCUCUUGAACAACUUCUGUGCCCAUACUUGUCAAAUUCAGUAGAAUCUAGUUCUUGCAUUUGAAAUUUGUUAUCAUAUUAAAUGUUUUAGACUAAUUGAUAGUUUUAUCAUCUGUCAGCUUGUUUUCCUCUUGCUCUUCUCCGAUUUUGUAUUGGAUGUCAUAUGUGCACCAUCUGCAUUUUGUAUCAUUGUCUUUAUGGUUUAAUUACUCUCUGCUAAUUUUCUGAAAAUGAAGAUGUGUUUUUCUUGUCGGGGUAUGAUUUUGAUUUAUUGUCUUGGUUAGCUUCUUAGUUUAGAAUAACUCCUAACUUAUUAUCCUAAAGCUUCAUGCUAGUGACCUUGAUGAGAGUAAAUGGAGCUUUCCUGGAGAAAGUUUGGUGCCAUGGACUGAUGACAGAAUGUGCAGAUAGGCAGAGAGAAUUUGUUAUCUUGGUGUUCUCACAUGGGAUCGUAUUAAUGAUAAAAUGUUUGGAUUGAUAGAAAGUGAAGAAACAGAGUGAAACAGAUUGAUGCUUUUUAUUUUUGGACAAGUAACAAUAAUUGAGAGGAGUGGAUUUGAUUUCUGGUUUCCUUCUUGAUUGACUUUUAUUUUGUACAGAGAAAUGAGGUUUCACAAUGCUGGUUCUAUUUCUGGGUUAAAAUAAGAACUUGAAUUUUAUAUUAUUACACAAUCAAUCUGCAUUUUCUUUUAACAUUUCUCAUUCCCCAUUUUCGCAAAACUAGUCUAUUAGUCUAAGAGAUUGAAGAGUAAUAUCCAACCAAACGCAGAGUGAAAUCUAAUUUCUCCGAUGGUUUGUGUUCUUGAUUGUUUUUUCCAUUGUCGUUCAACAAGAAGUCAACAUUUGGUGUCUUGUUGAGAAAUAAAUAGCUGAAUAAUAUAAAUCCCUUGUUUUUAGUUCCUUUCUGAUAAAAUUAAUAACAAUGUAAAGUAAAAUAUAAGCAGGAAAAAUUUUUGAAAUGCUUUAUGUGGGAAAAAAAAAAUUGAAGGAAAUUUUUAAAAUCAUUUGUUAUAUUAAUGAAUAUAUAAUAACCAACUAGAGUUUACAUAUAUAGCUAUAACAAUAUACAUUUUUCUCUCCAUUUUAUCCUGUUCAUAUUUAUAUAAUACACGUCAUCAAAAUAACUUAUUCGACUGAAUGAAAUUAGUUUGUUUUACUUCCAAAAAAAAAAAUAUACUAAAUUAAAAUUAUUGACAUCUCUUAUUGGAGUGGAAAAUUCGAUCCUAUCAUAAUUGAUAAAAUAAUGUUAUAUGACAUAAUGAUUAUAUUUUAAUUCUAAGUAUUUAAUUCUUGAACAUUAAAUAUAACUAAAUCAAUAUAAAAAAUUAGAUUUACAUAGAUGAUAGUUAAAAAAAAAAAUUAAGUUGAAUAAAUGUUAUUCAAGGAAAAUUCACUUUAAUGCAAUUAUUCCCUAGACCGUUGAAGUGGAUUUUAAAAUUUAUUAACAUUCUUAAAAAAGAUACCAUUAAUAAUCUUUUUGAUAUCCUCCCAAUGAAUAAUCCAUUUAUACGAAUAUUUUUUAAAAUUAUUAGUAUAUAUUUAUUUUAGACAUAAAGUUUAGAUUUAAUUUGACAUACAAAAUAUGAAAAUUUAUUGAUAAAUGAAUUAUAUUUUUAUAAUUCAUCUCAAAUUAAUAAUUUGUUAAUUUAUAUUAAAUUGCAAUAUUUAUUGCUAAUCACAAUUUAUGAUUUACAAGAAAGUUUUAUAUAUAAUGAAUUUUAAGUUGGAGACAUAUUCAUUAUUGGAAUUUAAAAGUAUUUUGUCUUUAAGAUUCUGAAUUUAAAAAAUAAAAGAGAAAAACAUAUAAAACCAAGUUUCUUCAAAACUUUGUUUUCCGGCAAUACGCUUGACAAGAACACAAGAAAGCAGGCGAAGCAGCAAACAGAAUGGAAGCAAAGCUCUGAUGCAAUACAGAGAGGAAUUAAACAGAGUAGAAGGAGAUGCAAAUCCAUAGCAAUGAUGCAAGGACUCCACCAUCAACAACACCAACUCGCUGCACUUCUUUCUGUUGCUCUCCCCACUGACGACUCCGCUUCCGCCUCUUCUUCAGCAACUGCCUCUGCCACCGCCGCCGCCUCAACAACUGCGCCCGCAACCACAAAAACAACUAACUCAGACGAUGACGACUCGUCUCGACUUGCUGCCAUUAACUCGCUCCACCGUGCGAUUCUCUUCCCUCCUAAUUCUCUCCUUGUGGCUCACUCUGCUUCUUUCCUUUCCCAGGGAUUCUCUCAGCUCCUCUCCGAUAAGUAUGCCUUUCUUUUCCGCUGUAGCAAUAUGUAUUUAUUAUGAAUUACGGCUAAUUUUACUGUUAUUAUAAUUAUUUUCCAAUUAAUUCUCUCUUAAUUCAAAGAUAAAAGUUAUUAAUCGCUCCAUUAUUGUUGUUCACUUGAAUUGUCUUGAGAAGUACACGUAUAAGUUAGUUAUUAUCUUUUCUUAAUUUUUUUAAGGCAGCAUUGAUAAUGCUAAAUUUGGUUAAAUUUUGCAAGUGAUACUCUGUUUGUUGAACUGGAGAGCUAGAUUUUAUCUGAUAAGUUUACAUGCUUUCUCACAUUCUCAAUUGACCACUUGGAGUGUUUCGUAUACGAAGAGGAUUAUUAGUUCUAAUUCAUCCAAUUGGAAUAGAAAGCUCAAUAUAAUUUGUAAUGAAACUCUGAUUCAGGUCAUAUGCAGUAAGGCAGGCUGCAGCUACUACAUAUGGAGCUCUCUGUGCUGUGCUUUGCUCAAUCCUUAUUGGAUCAAAAGGAAGGCAGAACCAUGUUAUGCUUGGAAGUCUGGUUGAUCGGUUUAUUGGCUGGGCUUUGCCGUUGCUUAGCAAUGUUAGUGCUGGUGAUGGAACCACAGAACUUGCAGUGGAAGCGCUACGGGAGUUUAUUGGUGUUGGAGAGGUUGUGGCUAUUGAGAGAUAUGUCUUGCCUAUCCUCAAGGCAUGCCAAGAACUUCUGGAGGAUGAGAGAACCUCCUUGAAUUUAUUACACCGGCUUCUGGGUGUUUUAUCUUUAAUUUCUUUGAAGUUUUCUCGAAUUUUCCAACCUCAUUUUCUUGACAUUGUUGAUGUGCUCCUUGGUUGGGUGUUGGUACCAGAUCUUGCAGAAUCUGAUAGAAGAAUUAUUUUGGAUAGUUUUUUGCAAUUUCAGAAACAUUGGGUGGGAAAUCUGCAAUUUUCUCUGGGAUUGUUAUCGAAGUUCUUGGGUGACAUGGAUGUGUUGCUGCAGGAUGGCAGUCAUGGAACACCAUCACAAUUUCGAAGAUUGCUCGCAUUGCUUUCUUGUUUUUCAACUGUAUUGCAGUCUACUGCUUCUGGGUUGCUGGAAAUGAAUCUACUUGUACAAAUUAGUGAAUCUCUUAGCAAAAUGCUUCCUCGACUGUUGGAUUGCUUAUCUCUGGUUGGAAGGAAGUUUGGGUGGUCAAAAUGGAUUGGGGAUUCAUGGAGAUGCUUGACUCUAUUGGCAGAAAUAUUAUGUGAAAGGUUUUCUACUUUCUAUCCACUUGCAGUUGACAUCUUAUUUCAAAGCCUGGAAAUGAAUAGCAGCGUCCAAACUGGAGUUGAUAAAAUCACCUCCUUUCAAGUUCAUGGGGUUUUAAAAACCAAUCUUCAGUUAUUAUCUCUUCAAAAACUUGGCCUCCUUUCAUCAUCGGUACAGAAAAUAAUACAAUUUGAUGCUCCAAUCUCUCAGCUGCGUUUGCAUCCAAAUCAUUUGGUAGCUGGAAGCUCUGCUGCCACUUAUGUUUUCUUGCUCCAACAUGGAAAUGAUGAAGUUGUUCAACAGGCAAUGACAAUGUUGAUCGAAGAGCUGGAGGUGUUAAGAGACAUACUAAAAAGAACUCUGAAUCUUGGAGAUGAGGUUAAAAGUGUUACAGGUUCUAAACCCUAUUCAAAAGUUGAGCUGUUUGCAUUGAUGAAAUUUGAUUUGAAAGUUCUGUUAACUUGUGUUUCCACGGACGGGAUAAACAAUUUGAUUAGCCAACCAGAUAUAGCUGCAAUUUACCUUAAUAGGUCAGAAAAGUUGGCAUCCUUUCUUGCUGAGAAAUUGGAUCCUUUUGAUCUACCUUUUCAGGCCAAUGUGGAGUUGCAAGUGAAUGUUAUCAAGACGAUGGACAGGGUAAGUGCAAUUGAGUUCUUGACCAUGUGCUGCAUGAGAAAUCAGACUAGCAAUAAAGCUUCUGCAGAUGUUGCUGAUGAAAAAAUUGGUAAUGACAGCUUCACGGAUGUGUAUGAUACUGUUAUUGUUGAGCAUCUGAGAAAAUAUGCUGUGAUUCUUGUUAAAUCUCUACAUGUUCUUUCUCCUCUUGCAGUUAAGGUAGUAGCCCUGGAAUGGAUCCAAAGAUUCUCUGAGAAUCUUAUUCCUAUUUAUGAGAAUUCAAAUGUGAAAACUUUUUUUUAUGAAGCAUUUGGAUAUAUUGGUAGUGUUGGAAAUAUUAUUUUCUCGGUACUUGAUGCUGCAUUUGAUAGGGAACCAAAAGUAAGGUCGCAUGUGGCUUUAGUUUUGGAGCUGCUUUUUCAAGCAAGGCUCAUAGAUCCCGUGUUUUUCUAUCCCGUAGCUGAAGUGGUCACAGAAAAACUUGGUGAUCCAGACAUUGAAAUAAAAAAUGCAUUUGUUAGACUUCUUUCCCAUGUCAUACCUACAGCAAUGCAUGUGUGUGGUUUACAUGCUCGAGGAACAUUCACCAAAUCUAGGUCAACUGCUCUUAUAAUAGGUAACAGUUCUAAUUUGCACUGGAAGCAAGCAUUUGCCCUGAAGCAGCUUCGACAACUUCAUUCUCAGCAACUUGUUUCCAUUUUGAGUUACAUAUCCCAAAGAUGGAAGGUGCCACUUUCUUCUUGGAUCCAACGGCUCAUCCACAGCCGUCAGAGUCCAAAGGACCUUCUCCUAUGUCAACUUGAGGAAACACGAAAAUUUGGUGCCAAUGCCCUAUGGAUGGACAUAAAAGUGGAUGAAGAUAUUCUGGAAAGAAUUUGCUCUGUUAAUAAUUUGGCUGGUGCUUGGUGGGCUAUACAUGAAGCAGCUAGAUAUUGUAUUUCAACACGCCUUCGAACUAAUCUUGGUGGGCCUACUCAAACAUUUGCAGCAUUGGAAAGAAUGCUUUUGGACAUUGCACAUGUGCUACAGCUUGACAUUGAGCAGAAUGAUGGAAACCUGAGUAUAAUCGGCUCUUCUGGUGCUCAUUUGUUGCCAAUGAGGUUGUUAUUGGAAUUUGUUGAAGCCCUAAAAAAGAAUGUAUACAAUGCAUAUGAAGGAUCAGCUAUUUUACCCUCUGCCACACGCCAGAGUUCCUUGUUCUUUCGAGCAAACAAGAAGGUUUGCGAGGAGUGGUUUUCUCGCAUACGUGAACCAAUGAUGAAUGCUGGUUUAGCAUUGCAAUGUCAUGAUGCUACAAUUCAAUAUUGUAGUAUGCGUUUGCAGGAGCUAAAGAAUCUUUUAGCUUCGUCUUUCAAGGACAAGUCCAGGCCACAGGUGUCUGAGAAUCUUCAUAAUAUCAGGGAGAGAUUUUCUGGAGACAUUUUGAGGGUUUUACGGCACAUGGCAUUAGCUCUUUGUAAAAGUCAUGAACCAGAGGCUUUGGUUGGUUUACAACAAUGGGCUUUAAUGACAUUUUCUUCCUUGCUUGUGGAUGAGAACCAGUCUCCGACUCAAAGUGGAGUAUCUGACCCUUUUUCAUGGAUCACUGGUCUGGUAUAUCAGGCUGAAGGCGAGUAUGAAAGAGCCGCUGCUCACUUCACUCACUUGUUACAAAAUGAGGAGUCACUCAGCUCUAUGGGUUCUGAUGGUGUACAAUUUGCUAUUGCACGUAUUAUUGAGAGUUAUACUGCUGUAUCUGAUUGGAGGUCACUAGAGUCUUGGUUACAAGAGUUACAGACACUCCGUUCUAAACAUGCCGGAAGGAGUUAUUCUGGGGCUUUGACAACAGCGGGCAAUGAAAUCAACUCAAUUCAUGCCUUGGCACGCUUUGAUGAAGGUGAUUUUCAGGCAGCUUGGGCAUGCCUGGAUUUGACCCCUAAAAGUAGCUCUGAACUCACACUUGAUCCUAGACUGGCCUUGCAGAGAAGUGAGCAAAUGCUUUUACAGGCAAUGCUGUGCCUUCUUGAAGGGAAAGUAGACAAGGUGCCACAUGAAAUCCACAAGGCCAAGUCGAUGUUAGAGGAAAUAUUGUCAGUUUUACCACUUGAUUCAUUAACAGAAGCACCGCCACUUGCUAGUCAGUUGCAUUGCAUCUUUGUGUUUGAAGAAUGUCACAAUCUUAUGGGUCAUGCGGUGAAAUCCAAGCAGCAUCAAUCAAUAUUAAGUUCUUACAUCAAGUCAGUGCAGUCUGUUAUGAACAGAGUUCAUCAAGAUUGUAAUCCAUGGUUAAAAAUUCUUCGGGUUUAUCGAACCAAUUUUCCCACUUCUGCAGUCACUCUAAGGCUCUGCAUGAGUUUAUCCAGUUUAGCCCGUAAACAGGGAAACCUAAUGUUGGCAAAUCGUCUGAACAACUAUCUCAGUAGCCAUGUGUUAAGUUGUUCUGAGCAGAGAAAUUGUGAUUUCUUAUUGUCAAAUUUGCAAUAUGAGAACUGCUUGCUCUUGUAUGCUGAGAACAAGUUUGAAGAUGCUUUUGCAAAUCUUUGGUCAUUUAUUCAUCCUUGCAUGAUUUCUUCUUCAUCUGCAAUAUCUGAUUCAGAUGACAAUAUUUUGAAGGCCAAGGCAUGCUUGAAACUUUCAGGUUGGUUGAGAAGGGAUUAUCCAGAUCUGAAUUUGGAAAAUGUUGUCCACAAAAUGCAAGUGGAUUUUAUUGGUGAUGAUAUUUCUUUGCUUAGUGGAGAUGGAUCAUCGGUCAAUGUUGGGAACUUAAGCAGUAAAUCAAGUCUAGGCGUUGUUAUUGAGGAAAUUGUGGGUACAGCUACAAAAUUAUCUGCACAGCUUUGCUCCACAAUGGGCAAAUCAUGGAUUUCUUAUGCAUCUUGGUGCUUCAGUCAGGCUAGAGACUCUUUAUUUGGCCCACGUGAAACUGUCCUCCACUCAUGUUCUUUCUCUUCUCUACUUCUUCCGGAAAUUAUGCCUGAAAGAUUCAGGUUGACUGAAGAUGAGAUGAAGAGAGUGCAGCAUGUGAUUUUGCAACUUUUUCAGAAUGAAUGCGAUGCUUUAAAUAUAGAGGGGGAAGAGUCGAAACUUUGGCCUAAUGCUGUGCAACAUUCCAGAAGUAAGAACCCUGUAGAGGCUUUGGUGCAGCAAGCAGUGGAUAUAAUUGAAGCUGCUGCUGGGGCACCUGGUGCAGAUGGUAAGCCCCUUUCUGUUACUGUAGCAUCACAGUUGCAAGUCUUACUAUGUGCUAAAGCUGGCCUAGAAGAAAAAGAUCUUUUAUCUCCACUUGAUGAUUUAGUUAAUGUUUGGUGGUCUUUGAGGAGGAGAAGAGUGUCUCUCUUUGGAUAUGCAGCUCAUGGUUUCAUGAAGUACCUUACAUAUUCAUCUGCAAAACUUUCUGAUUGUCAGUUGGCUGGCUCUGGGUGUGAGUCACUGAAACAAAAAACUGGCAGCUAUAUUUUGAGGGCUACCUUAUAUGUACUACACAUUUUCCUUAAUUAUGGAGUUGAACUGAAAGAUACAAUUGAACCUGCUCUUUCAACAAUUCCUCUUUUUCCAUGGCAGGUGAGAAGUUCUCUCCUUCUCUUAUUCUUUCAAACACACACACCACACAGACACAAAAAAAAAGAUAUUCCAUAUUUUUAACAAAGAAAGAUAUGUCAUAUUUUCAACUUUUCUUUAUCCCUUAUUUUUGGGUUGACGCAAUAACUUAUAUAUUCUUCCUCUGCUUUUGGUAGGAAGUCACUCCCCAGUUGUUUGCACGCUUAAGUUCUCAUCCCGAGCAACUCGUUCGAAAGCAAUUGGAAGGCUUACUAAUGAUGCUGGCUAAACAAUCUCCUUGGUCCAUCGUGUACCCAACACUAGUUGAUGUAAAAGCUAAUGAGGAGCAACCUUCAGAGGAGCUUCAACACAUUUUGAGUUGUUUGGUAAUGGAAAUUUUGUUUGUCAAAUAGCUAUUUACUGCAGUGCGUUUAGGUGCAUCUAAAAUUUUUAUUAAUAUCGAUUUGAUGAUUUAAAAUAAAUUGGUUUUCUUCGCUUAACUUUUCCUUUGACUCUAGUGAAAUCCUAUUUGGAGACACCUAUACUUAUUCCAUAUAACAUCUUAAUUGCUUGAUGCUAUGCCUUUUGGUUGUCACCUGGAAAAUCUGAAGCAAGUUACCAUGUAUGUUUCAGGGUGCUUUCACCAUUGUACUCAAUGCAUGCUUCCGGGAUCCAAUUUGACUGCAUAAUAAGUUUACUUGUAUGAGAAUAUAAUUUUAUCCUUUAUUCACAGCCUUUAAGGUUUGGAAGCCAAGUGAAUCCAAUGUUAGAGUGGGGAGUAUUUUACAUUUGGCUGAUAAGGGUCUUGAGAAAUUAUCAGUUCAAGAACAAACUUCUGUGAAAUAAACAGUCUGCUGAUAAUUAUUAUUGCUGCUGUAUGUGCCGAAUGUUUUUAUGAUAAUUUUUGAAGCAUCUUUCCUUAAUUGUUAUUUUACUUUGGUUUUUUUACUUAGACUGCUAAACUACAUUCUUGGUCAUCCCGAUUUUGCUGCAUAUAAACCAUUAUUUGCCAAGGGUUGAUUUAAUAGAAUUUGAUAAAAUUAAAUCACAAUCCUGUAAUAUGCAGUGGGAGCUAUAUCCAAGAUUAGUUCAAGAUGUUCAACUCAUGAUAAAUGAACUUGAAAAUGUUACUGUUCUUUGGGAGGAACUCUGGCUCAGCACACUUCAAGAUCUUCAUGCAGGUAAGUGGAGAUCAUAAUAUUGAGAUUUCUGUUAUUCAUGUUGCCAACUUUUAAACUAUACUUUUUGUGAUUCACGUUUGGGAUAUGCAAAAUCUGUGUUUUAUCAUUUACUUAGUGCCCAUUUGGAAUUCCUAUUGCAAGUACCAGAUUUUGGGCCAAAAUUAGGAAUAUAUUUAUUGACCUAAUGGAUAUAGCUACUCGGCAUAUAGUUUUCUAUGAGCCUGAAACUGAUUUUGCAAAAAGCUUGAAAUUUGAGUAUUCCCCAAAAUCAAUUUUGGACCCAAAGAAAACUCUAUUAACGAGUAGCUACAUACAUGGGCCACAUAUGACUCCUAAUCUUGGUCCAACAUCUGCUACUUGCAAUAGCAAUAAAAUGGGGCCCCUAACAUAGUUCCUAAUAUGGUCCAUGAAUAAUAGCGUACAACUUCCAAACCUCAAUUUAGAAUGAACCAUUAUGUGGCAGUUGGACCCUGAAGGUUUACACAAGAAAUAACCAUUCAAUCAGCAUUAUGCAUAUAGACUAGCAUUGUUCUUAUAUAGCAUAUUUUUCUGUUGGAACAGAUUAGGCAUACUCUCCAAAUACUUUACCUUUUAGGAGCACAAUGAUUUUGAGUUUCUGCUACUUGCUGAUUAUUGUUCUAUGCACUAAGAUCUAUCUGAAUUAAUUUUUCUUCCAGAUGUAGUAAGACGCAUAAAUGUGCUGAAAGAGGAAGCUGCACGAAUUGCAGAGAAUGCCACUUUAAAUCAGACUGAGAAGAAUAGGAUAAAUGCUGCUAAGUACUCAGCCAUGAUGGCUCCGAUUGUAGUGGCCUUGGAACGCCGCCUGGCUUCAACUUCUCGUAAACCUCAAACUCCUCAUGAACUAUGGUUUUAUGAGGAAUACAAAGAACAACUGAAGUCGGCCAUUUUGACAUUUAAGACUCCUCCAUCUUCUGCUGCUGCACUUGGAGAUGUGUGGCGGCCAUUUGAUGAUAUUGCUGCAUCAUUAGCAUCCUAUCAGAGGAAGUCAUCAAUAUUGUUAGGGGAAGUUGCACCCCAACUGGCUUUGUUGUCAUCUUCUGAUGUUCCAAUGCCUGGCCUUGAGAAGCAACUCACAUUAUCUGAAUCUGAUGGAGGUCUGAACACUACUCUUCAGGGAAUUGUUACAAUAGCUUCUUUUUCUGAACAAGUGACUAUCUUAUCAACCAAAACAAAACCAAAGAAACUUGUUAUACAUGGUUCAGAUGGUGAGAAGUACACUUAUCUUUUGAAAGGACGAGAAGAUCUGCGCCUUGAUGCUAGAAUCAUGCAGCUUCUUCAAGCUAUAAAUGGUUUAAUGCAUUCAUCUUUUGCAACUCGUAAGCAUUUGCUUGCUAUACGCUACUAUUCUGUGACUCCAAUCAGUGGUCAGGCUGGUCUGAUCCAGUGGGUGGACAAUGUGAUAAGUAUAUACAGUGUCUUUAAGUCUUGGCAAAACCGUGUGCAACUGGCCCAGCUCUCAGCAAUGGGUCAAAACAAUUCAAAAAAUUCCAUUCCACCACCUGUUCCUCGACCAAGUGAUAUGUUUUACGGUAAAAUCAUACCAGCACUUAAAGAGAAAGGCAUAAGGAGAGUAAUUUCACGUAGAGACUGGCCUCAUGAAGUCAAGCGUAAAGUUCUUCUGGAUUUGAUGAAGGAGGUUCCCAGACAGCUGCUCCAUCAAGAACUUUGGUGUGCUAGUGAAGGGUUCAAAGCAUUCAGCUCAAAACUGAAAAGGUAUUUUCUAAGGAACUGGAACUGAUCUCACAGGUCUCUUGUUUGUGCUUCGCACUUGAGCUUUCUAGGCAGAGAGGCCUGUGCAAUACACCAGUUAGCUUGCAUGAAUGCAAUCAUUGCUUACCUUAGUCUCAGUUCAUCUCUUAUUAUCUUUCCUUUAGCUCCUCUUUUAUAUGUCACUAUUACUCAUACAAUCUUUUAGCUAUAUUUGUUUCUUAUGUUGUUGCUUGACAGUUAUGUUUAACAUAUAUAAAUUGCAAAAUUUGGCGAACAAAAUGAUAAUGCUAGUUAUUCAUAAAGAUCUGCUGUUGCUUCAUGGAAUGAAUAAAUGAAAGAAGGAAACCUGAAAAGUACACUCGACCAAAUUUUGGUUGCAUGGUUGUACUGAAUUUGAUAGCCUAUCAAGUCUUUCUUUCACUAGGUAUCUGGCUUUAGCAGAUCAAUUGUUGGAAGGUGGUUAUUAUAGCAAAAUUGGCAGAUGGAGAAAAAAGGAUUUAAAGGAGUUGAAUUUAAACUUUGAUCAUAAAUUAUGUCUAUUGCAGUGAUACUCUUUCCCCUUCUGUGUUUGUAAUGCAUUGCAUGUAUCCCUAUCCCAUUCAGGAUUAAACAUUCAUUCUUCACUUGUAGGUAUUCUGGAAGUGUUGCAGCCAUGAGUAUGGUGGGCCACAUUCUUGGUCUGGGGGAUAGACAUUUGGAUAACAUUCUGGUGGAUGUCUGCAGUGGGGAUAUUGUACAUAUUGAUUACAACAUUUGCUUUGAUAAAGGUCAAAGACUAAAGAUUCCCGAAAUUGUUCCAUUCCGCCUUACUCAGAUGAUUGAAGCUGCUUUGGGAUUGACUGGAGUCGAAGGUACCUUCAGAGCAAACUGCGAAGCAGUUGUUGGCAUUUUGAGGAAAAACAAGGACAUACUCUUGAUGUUACUAGAGGUGUUUGUUUGGGAUCCACUUGUAGAAUGGACACGAGGGGAUUUUCAUGAUGAUGCAGCAAUUGGUGGUGAAGAAAGGAAAGGCAUGGAAUUGGCUGUUAGUUUGAGUUUAUUUUCAUCUCGGGUGCAAGAAAUUCGUGUCCCUUUACAGGUAUUUAAUCACCGUAGACUCUUGUAUAGCUGUAUAGGCGUUCUGUUCAAAGGACAAUAUCUAUAAUUUUUUGAGAUUAGUGUAUUUGAAGUGCAAAUUAUCUGUUGGUUUCUUACUGUCCUUUAGUUUUCUUGAUACAGGUACUCAUGUCUAAUUUACAUAAAUUUACUUAAUUUUACAUGAUGUUUUCGUAAAAAUAUUGGUUUAUUUGUAAUUUAUGUUCUGUCUGGAUGUUUCAGAGUCUAUCACGUUAAUUUGCAUUUUGUCCUGCAUGCUAUCUUAGACUUUUCAUGCACUGAUUUUGUUAGAUACUAUUAAAUCGUGUCAAUCUGAAAAUUAUGUAAAUGCAUGAAUAAUUCCUGAUGUCUUCUAUCUUAGACUUUUCGUAAAAAUAUUGGUUUAUUUGUAAUUCAUGUUCAGUCUGGAUGUUUCAGAGUCUAUCACGUUAAUUGGCAUUUUGUCCUGCGUGCUAUCUUAGACUUUUCAUGCACUGAUUUUGUUAGUUACUAUUAAAUCGUGUUAAUCUGAAAAUUAUGUAAAUGCAUGAAUAAUUCCUGAUGUCUUCUAAUUUUGCUCAGGAACAUCAUGAUCUCUUGUUAUCCACCUUACCUGCCGUUGAAUCGGCUCUUGAGGUAUGAAAGGUUACUGCCUAUAAUGUUUUUGUGAAAGAUCUUAGCUUGUCCUUAAUUAUAAGUUUCUUCUAACUGAGAAUGCAUAUUCCAGAGGUUUGCCGAUGUUUUAAAUCAAUAUGAACUUGCCUCUGCUCUUUUUUAUCGAGCUGACCAAGAGCGAUCCAGCCUUCUUCUGCAUGAAACAUCUGCCAAGUCAGUUGUUGCUGAAGCGACUUGUAAUUCAGAGAAAAUUCGUGCAUCAUUUGAAAUUCAGGCUCGAGAAUUUACUCAAGCAAAGGCUAGGGUAGUUGAGAUGGCUCAAGAAGCUGCAACGUGGAUGGAACAACAUGGAAGGAUCCUUGAUGCUCUGCGAAGAAACCUACUUCCAGAAAUAAAUACCUGCAUAAAGCUGAGCAAUAUAGCUGAUGCCUUGUCUCUUACGUCGGCUGUUCAGGUGGCAGGAGUUCCAUUGACCAUAGUUCCUGAGCCCACACAAGCACAAUGCCAGGAAAUAGAUAGGGAGGUUUCUCAGCUCAUUGCUGAGCUAGAUCAGGGACUUUCAUCUGCGGUAACUGGGAUCCAAGUAUAUUCUUUGGCUUUACAGAGAAUUUUACCUUUAAACUACCUUACAACUAGUGCAUUACAUGGCUGGGCACAAGUGUUCCAACUCUCUGCAAAUGCUGUGUCCUCUGAUAUUCUCUCUGUUGCCAGAAGACAAGCUGCUGAACUUACUGCAAAAGUACAAGGAGAUAAUCUUGAUUCUGUCAAACAUAGUCAUGAUGAUCUUUGUCUUAGACUGGAGAAAUAUGCAAUAGAGAUACAGAAAAUUGAAGCAGAGAGUGUAGAGCUAGAGAGCUCUAUCGGCUUGGAGACUGAAUCAAAAGCUAAGGAUCGUCUUCUUUCUGCUUUUGUUAAGUACAUGCAGUCUGCUGGUCUUGCAAGGAAAGAAGAUUCUAGUUCUUUUAACCAAUUGGGGCCUUCAAAGUUCGAUAUGACAAGGGAGGCUGGGUUGCCAGGGGAGCAUGAAGACAAGAAGGAGAAGGUGCUAUUUGUUUUAAAUGUAGCAGUAAACUCAUUGUACAAUGAGGUUAAGCACAGGGUUCUUGACAUAUUCAAUAAUUCUGCUGGAGGAAGAAAUGAAAACAAUAGAUUUGGAACUAUUUUCUCUGAGUUUGAAGAGCAAGUAGAGAAAUGCAUACUCGUAGCUGGGUUUGUUAGUGAAUUGCAGCAAUUUUUUGGUUGGGACAUGGCUAGUGUGGAUACAGAUGCAAGCCACCCACAAACUUAUCCUGAAAAGAACUGGGCUUUCAUAUUUAAAACCUCUUUGCUUUCCUGUAAGAGUUUGAUUGAGCAAAUGACUGAAGUUGCUUUGCUGGAAGUGAUGAGGUCUGCUGUUUCAUUGAAUUCAGAAGUUAUGGAUGCAUUUGGAUUCAUCUCACAAAUCCGGGGGUCCAUUGAUACAGCGUUAGAGCAGCUAUUGGAGGUUGAAUUGGAGAGGGCGUCCUUGGUUGAACUUGAAAAGAACUACUUUGUUAAGGUUGGCCUCAUUACUGAGCAACAAUUGGCUCUCGAGGAAGCUACUGUAAAGGGUAGGGAUCAUCUGUCCUGGGAAGAGGCAGAGGAGCUUGCUUCCCAAGAAGAAGCUUGCAGGGCACAGUUGGACCAACUACAUCAAACAUGGAAUGAAAGGGAGAUGCGGACAACUUCUCUCAUAAAGAGAGAAGCUGACAUUAAACAUGUCUUGAUUUCUUCUGAAUGCCAUUUUGAAUCUCUGAUUAGUACUAAAGAGGUAGGAGAGCCAAAUAUUUUAGGAAGUAAAGCACUGUUGUCCUUACUUGUUAAACCCUUCUCUGAAUUGGCUUCUGUGGAUAAAGUAUUAUCAACUUUUGGUGGUUGUGUUAUUUCUCAUUCUGAAGAGAUUUCUAAUUUAGCAGAUCUUAUGAGUUCAGGGUACUCUGUAUCUGAUUCUAUCUGGAAGUUUGGUGGCUUAUUGGACAACCAGUCUUAUUUUAUUUGGAAAGUAUGCGUCAUGGAUUCUUUUCUUGAUUCAUGCAUACAUGAUGUUGCUUCAUCUGUGGAUCAAAAUUUAGGAUUUGACCAGCUCUUCAAUGUUGUGAAGAAAAAACUUGAAGCUCAACUUCAAGAAUACAUGGGACGGUACCUGAAGGAACGAGUUGCUUCCACCUUUUUAGCUUGGUUAGACAAAGAAACUGAGAAUUUUAAACAAUUGACAGAGGCGGCAAAGGAACUUUCUGUUGACCAACUGAGAAAGGAUGUUGGUGCUGUCAGGAAGGUUCAGCUUAUGCUCGAAGAGUACUGCAAUGCGCAUGAAACUGCAAGAGCAGUGAGAUCAGCAGCUUCUAUCAUGAAAAGACAGGUAAAUGAACUCAAAGAGGCUCUUCACAAGACUGGCCUAGAGAUUGUGCAAUUAGAGUGGAUGCAUGAUGCAUUGAGCCCUUCAAACAAGAGCAGAGCUAUAUUUCAGAACUUUCUUGCUCAUGAUGAUAACUUGCAUUCCAUUAUCUUAAACCUCAGCAGACCUAAACUGCUCGAAGGUAUACAAUCUUCCAUAACACAAAUGGCUAGGUCAAUGGACUGCCUGCAAGCGUGUGAACGAAAUUCUGUUGUGGCUGAAGGGCAGCUUGAGAGAGCAAUGGGAUGGGCUUGUGGAGGUCCAACUUCCAGCAUGACUGGAAACAUGUCGAAUAAAACUUCAGGAAUUCCUCCCGAGUUUCAUGACCAUCUGAUUAGGAGACGGAAAUUGCUAUGGGAAGCUAGAGAAACUGCUUCAAACAUUGUCAAAGUUUGCAUGUCAAUACUAGAGUUUGAAGCAUCAAGAGAUGGGAUUUUUCGGAUCCCAGGAGAGACUUAUCCUCUAAGGACCAGUGGCGAUGGCAGGACAUGGCAGCAAGCAUACUUGAAUGCAUUAACAAAAUUGGAGGUUACCUACCACUCUUUUACACGUGAGUUUCCCAUGUGACCCAAUUGUAUGAACUCCUUUAUGCUAGUGGAACUUUCUUAUGACUGGUGAAUAUAUAUAUAUAUAUAUAUAUAUAUUUUUGGACCUUGUCAUAGGCACUGAGCAAGAAUGGAAGAUUGCACAAAGCAGUAUGGAAGCUGCGUCAAAUGGCUUGUAUUCUGCAACUAAUGAACUAUGCAUUGCAUCUCUUAAAGCCAAGUCAGCUUCAGGUUAUAAUGUCCUUUUGUUUAUUAUAAUAAUCAUCCAUGUUAAUAUGUGCAUAUGCAUAUAAUUUAUGGGUAAGAUACUAGGGGUGGAAGCACUGGUAUGGCAACAGUAUGUGAGAACACCUAAGACAAAUUAUGCAGAAAAAGAAAGAACAAAAGAGGUUAAGGACCAACAACCUAAAGGCUCAAGCUUAUAGGUCAAGGCCUAAGCAUAGGUUUUUAUAUAACCAGAAAACCCCUUUGUGAUGUCAUUAUUGAAGCAUUAGCAUAGCUCACAGUUAUACUUACAGAGAUUUAAUUAACAAUGUAUGGGCAUGCAGGAUUUUGGACCUUUUAGUCAAGUAGCCUAUGAUACCACACCAAAGAACUACUCAACUUAAAACUUCAAGCUAGUAUGUAAGGCUUAAAGAAUAGGUUUUUGUAUCUCUAUCAAAAAGAAGUGAGUAAUUGAACAAUAAGAGCUUAAGGACAAAACGGUUGAUUGAGAACCAUUUGACACCAGAAACUAUGGACCAAUCCAUUCCAUCUCAUUUUUUUCACUUACUAAAUCUCCUUUGCUCUCCAAAAUAUGCAAAAUUAUUUCUGGAUAAUAUCAGUUGGAUGUGCUGGUCUUUGUCUUUUGCAGGUGAGCUACAAAGCACUGUUCUUGCAAUGAGAGACUGUGCAUAUGAAGCUAGUGUUGCUCUAUCUGCCUUUGGCCGUGUUUCAAGGGGCCAAACUGCUUUGACUUCUGAAUCUGGUACCAUGCUUGAUGAGGUAUUAAACCUUAAAUAUUUGUCAUCAAUCUUCUUUUUUCUUCUUUUUGUCUUCUUUUUUUGUUCGCAGUCCAAAAAACACUGAGGCAUCAUCCUCAGGGAAUUCACUACAUUUUCUGGUCUUCUUUUAUAUGAAGAGGUGACCUCAAGUGACCUAGGCCCUCUUUUUGCCAUCGUUAGAUAUGCUUUGUUCCAUGGAGCAAAUCAGAUUUAGCACCUGAAGUCAUCUUCUGGUAAAAUCAUGCAAAAUUAACGUUGCUUAAAAUGGAACAAGUACUAAAGGAGAAAUUGGAAUGAAAAGACAACCUAAGUUGGAACACUGCCAAAGCAUCACCACAGCUCAAUUUUGCCUUGCCUUGCUUGCUUGGGCUAAUUAGAUAUCCAAAGCCUUCCUAAAAGCAAUAGCAUGUCCCUGAAGUUUUGCUAUUAAAGAAAGCAUGUAUGCUUUGUUUUUAGAUAUAGACAAUGAAGUGAGAAUAAUGGAAUGCAUGAGUAGCAGUAUAGGAGUCAAGUAUCUGUUGGUAAGCUUGUGACCUGAAUUUAACUCGCUCAAUUAAAACUUUGAUCCUCUUUCUCUGCUCUCCUUUUGUUAGACAUCAUGAUACAGAUGCUUAUCAACAUUGUUACCGUUACAUCUUGAACAACUGUAACAAGAGAAUUAAUGUCUACACAACAUGGCCUUAUUUUCUUCUAUUGCUCUGUCUAAUUUAUAGGAGGUGAUCUUACAUUAAUUUCCUUAUACAAACACCAAUAUUCAUUUUCUAUAUGUGCCACUUUCUUAACUGACAGUCUUUUUGUCUUUCCCUUUCUGCACUCUUUCUCAAAUUCUCAUGGUCUCUUCUGUUUUAUAUUUGUUGCUCAUUAUGUAGGUUCUUGCAAUAACUGAAGAUCUGCAUGAUGUUCAUACCCUGGGAAAGGAAGCUGCUGCUGUACAUCAUUCUCUUAUGGGGGAUCUUUCGAAGGUUUUUUAUGCCUAUCUGCUUGAUUUUUAGUUUCUAGAUUGCAUUCUUCUGUAUUAAAGUCGAUCUUUCUGCAUAUGUAGUGUUUCAAUUUAUUUCAUAAGAUCAGAUUAUGUUCAUGAAACCUUUUGUUUAUCUAGGUAUAUGCUCUACUGCCACUAUCAUAUGAAUGAGUUCAUAAUAUCUGUUUUUCGGCAGGCAAAUGCUAUUCUUCUUCCACUUGAAUCAGUAUUGUCAAAGGAUGUCACUGCUAUGACAGAUGCAUUGACCAGGGAAAAAGAGACCAAGAUGGAAGUAUCUCCAAUCCAUGGACAAGCCAUAUACCAGUCAUACUGUUUGAGAAUUAGGGAGGCUAUUCAGACAUUUAAGCCUCUGGUACCAUCACUUACAUCAUCUGUGAAGGGACUAUAUUCGAUACUGACGAGGCUUGCACGAACCGCAAGUCUCCACGCUGGCAAUCUCCACAAGGUAAGGUCUUAGAUUAGCACAUUUUCUGUGACUAUAAUUUGAGAAUUGCUGCCUAAUAUACUGUCUCUCUCUCUCUCUCUCUCUCUCUCUCUCGCUUUGUUAUUUUAUUUCUGGCAGGCUCUUGAAGGACUAGCAGGAAGUCAGGAUGUAAAAUCCCAGGGAAUUAGUUUGUCAAGGACAGAUCUUGAUGAUGGUCCUGAUGUAUUUGAAGACAAAGGAAGAGAGAGUCUCUCCAGAUCAGACAGUGAGAGCACUAAAGAUUUCCUUGGUGAUACUGGAUUCUCCUUGCAAGAUAAAGGAUGGAUUUCUCCACCAGAUAGUAUAUGCAGUGGCAGCUCAGAAUCUGAAAUUACAUUAGAUGAAGCAAGUUUUCCAGAUGGCUUCAGCGAUCGAGCAGAAGUAAUUGGACAAUUUCUGCAUGAAUCUAAUAACAGUGUUGUGUCAGAUUAUCUAAAUUCUUCUCACUCUUCACAAACUCAUUACCAGGAAAUUUCACUAUCUGGUCAAUCGGUAUCUAGAUGUGAGGAGCUGAACAAUAAUAAUGAACGCCUGAAAGCUGUGGCAUCACCUAGUGAAGCCUUAACUGCAUAUGCUGAAUCUUUCCAGCCUCCAAAUGAGAGUAAUUCAAAGGUGAAAUUUGACGAUAAAGGAGAUGGCAUAUCCUCAUUAAGCAAAGUAAAUAUUGAAGAUGAAAAUUUUGAAGCUAAUCCUAAUUCACACAUUGGUAAUCGGAUGGCCAGAGGUAUUGUCUACUUGUUUAUGCUAUGUGCAUCUAAACUAGUAUCUGAGCUGGUAAUUAGUCAGUGCAUGUACUGCACUAACUGAUAACUUUUGUUACUUGUUUUUUCUUUUUUCUAAUAUAACAUAUAGGAUUGGUGUAGGACUUUGAAGUCAUUUUUGUAAUCUUUGGUUACCUGUAGGUAAAAAUGCUUAUGCCAUGUCCGUUCUUAGGCGAGUUGAGAUGAAAAUAGAUGGUCGAGAUAUUGCUGAAAAUAGGUAAUCUACUUGACUCUGAAAUUUUUUUACACAGUCAAAUUUUUUAUUAGUCAAAUUAUCCCAUUUUCCAUUUCCUCAUCCCCCUCUAACAGAGAUAUUUUUACUUCUCAGAGAAAUUAGUAUUGGAGAGCAAGUGGAUUAUCUGAUUAAGCAAGCUAUGAGUAUAGAUAAUCUGUGCAAUAUGUAUGAAGGUUGGACACCGUGGAUCUGAACUUGUGUGGUCUGCAUUCUAAACAAAAGCAGUGAUCUUGAAUUUCUUGAGCGUGUCUGAGCAUCCUGCUGUAGUGCAAAUGCUCAUGAUAAUGAAUGGCUAGACUCGGGUCGGAACAUAUUCCUUGCUGGAGAAUAAGCUGCUGGACUUAUCGCCUGAGAAGGCCAUAUCCAUUUGGUUUCAGGAUCUCUCUUCCUCUUUUGUGUGAGAACUGCAAUCAAUUGGUUAUGUGCAUCUGGUGUUCUCCAUUUGUCCAAUGCCUUCCUUUCGAGGAAUUGCAGACUUCUGGGGCCAGAGGACAGACUCCAAUCCUGCAAGGGACACACCAACUUCAAGGACUUCAAACUGAACUCUUGUUGACAAACAUUCUGAGUGCUCCAGCCGGGACAGCCUGUGACGAGGUGACGAUAUCGUUGUUGACUUGAAAAGGGUUUUCAAAUUAACAUUUCACAAAACACAUUCUGUUUAAGGGUGCCAAAUUGGUGCAAAAGUCGGAUUGGUUGGUGGUGAAGCAAUGGUUUCUCCAGACAGUCGUUAUGCAACUCAGAUCGCCAACAUCCCUAGCGCAUUGCAGGUGGCAUGCGAGUUGUUCAUAUAGCAUGGGAUUAAAUAUUUAUUUCAUAAUCUGUAUGUAAUUAUAUGAAUCAUUCAGAAGUUAAAUAUUUAUCUCACGAUGCAGAAACCAAUAUUUUUAUAUCUAAUGCCAUAUUUUAUGAAAAUUUCGUCCUUAACGUCUCUCUGUUUUUAACAGAAAAUCAAAAUAGUGUAAUAAAAGCAAAAUAUAGAGAUAAAAUAGUAAUUUUUUACAAAAAAUUUAAUGUCCAUAUUUUAUAAAAAUUUUAGAUUAAAAAAAAAUUGUAUUUGCUAAACCGCUAAAAUAAAGAAAAAUUGCUAAGAUAUUUUUGUAGGAAGAAAACAAAUCCAAAUGCCAUCAACUUUAUUGUAAACGAAACAGACGGUCAGUCAGUAUUGUUGAUAACCACAAACCCAGCUGCGGUAUUCCUUCCUGGUGGUGGCCCGGUGGCCCGGAAGAAUUGUGUGCGCCUCUGUUUGUUUUCAUUAACAACAAAAAACAACCAGCAGCUUUCAUUACUCAUAUAUAAACAAGCUCUUUCACUUCACCUCUCCACAAAUAUCAACUGCCCAAAAACUUCAAAUAAAUAUCUAAACUACAUUUUCACUCCCCUUUUCCUUUUGUUCAAAUCAAGAAGAUUUUUGCAAUAUGUCUGCUCUUGUGGAUAUUUGGACUGCUGAGCAUGCCAAGCUACGUCAAAAGGGUCAGACCAUUUGGUCCACUGGCUCGACCCCUACUAAUCCUGAGUCUAGCCAUGUGGUUCGAACCGAGGAAGGAAGUAUGGUCAAGUCCUUGGCUACUUUCGUUCGGGGCAUAAGACUCAAAUCAUCUGGAUUGGCUUAUUCUGAGGCUUCAAUUUCAACGAUUGUUGAUUGCUUUAGUGCUUGAACAAUGUUAUAUAUUUUUUCUUUUUAAAUUUUCUGUGUAAAAAAAUUUCUAAUAAAAAGUUCCAUUUAGUUUGAAGUUCAAGGUGUUAUUAUAUAUUGCUGUAUCAUAUUAUAACAAUUAAUUUUGCCAAUCUCAUCAAUUGGAAAAUUGCAAUAAUUGAAGAUUUCUGUUUAAUAUAUGUUGUUGGCUCAUGCUCUGAGACUCAUAUUUUAGAUAAAUUAAUUUCCUAUUCUUUAGUUAGUCUAUCCCAUAAAAGAUAGAUUUAAAAGUUAAAAAAUUUUAAAAAAUAAGAUAAAAAUGACCUUUUCAUAUUUCAUCCAAUUUUUUUCCAUAAAUUUCAAUUCACGGUCCAUUAUCUUAACUCCACUAAAAAAAAUGUGGAUUAAUUACUCAUAUCCUUCUUCGAUAAUUUCUAUUGAAACCCAAAAAUUUAAAAUCGUUACUGAAUUUUACUUUGAAUAACAUUUUCACACUAAAUAUUAAAAUAAAAAAUACAAUAAAAUAAAAUGAGUUAAUCUAAAAUUACUCAUGGGUAAUCUUAUAUGUUUGUUAUAAUUUUGCAAUGCUAUUAACAUAUUUUGCUUUAAAAAAUAUAAAUUUCCCAAAAAAAUUCAAAAGCUCUAUAACCAGAUUAUUAUUAUUGCAAUGCAAUUCAAAAGCUAAAUAUUAUAAUUUUGCAAUGCAAUUAUUAUUAUUGUUAUUUUUUCAGGCACAUAGAUAUUUUACAUAAUUACAUCUAAUAUAAUAUCAAACAUAAAAUGUGUGCGCCGUAAACUUUACCCACCAAAACCAAAAACCAGAUUCUCUCAAAAAGCGAAAACCAGAUUUCAGAACCAUCCCAUAUCCUAUAAAACCCAAAGCAUCAAAGAAAAUAUAAACCACUGAACAGGGUUGAAAUAUCUCAAACUGUCUUUGUCGUUUUAGUUGGAGAAGAUAUUUUUGUUUGUCUGAAAUCAUGUCCGGGUCUGGGUCUGUUGAUAAGUGGAGCAGUGAGUUAGCGAAGUUACGUGAAAAGGGUCGAACCAUUUGGUCAAGUGGGUCGAGCCCUACUAGUACUAGUGAUCCUCACCCAGCAGCAGGAAGCUCCCUUACUUUGUUAUCCAGUCGUUCUGGCCGAGUUAAGCGAGUCAACUCACUCGUGUUAGUUCCCAGUUUUGAUGCUUCAUUAUCAAUGCUUUUGGAAUGCUUUAGCCCUUAAUUGCAUUUCUUCAUAUGUUUAUUAAUUAUCAGCCUUUUGUGGUUUUUAGUAUUUACAUGACACUAAUUUCUGUAAUAUGUAAUAAAAUUGUUAUUUUCUUUUAUUACUUUUAAUUCCUUUCACAAUUUAGUGUUUCUGAUUUUUUUUUUUUUUUUUUUGAUAAAUCAUGAGAAUUGCAUUCCAUGCAAACUUCACUCAUAAAAUUAACCUAUUGAAAUGUGCAAAACAAAAAAUAAUUAAAUGAUGAAAUUUGCUAAAUAAAUUCCUAAAAAAUAAAUAGAAAACAAAAAAAUUAAAAAAACAACUUUUAUUUUCAUUCACGACGACGUAUUUUUAACAAAUAAUGAGAACCGAAUCUGAGACAACAUCAUUUGUAAAUUUUAUAUAAAAAAAUUAUUGAAUGGAAAAUGAAUUCCUAAAAAGGAAUUAGAAAAUGGAGAAAAUAAAAAUAAAAAUCACAUAAUGGGGAAAAAAUGAGAGAAAAUUCGAAAUGAAAAUAGACAGCUUGGUCAUUUGAACCCACGCCCUUUCGAACCAGAAUCAAAAUUCGACGAUUUUGAACCACUCAACCAAACUAUCAUUAAUAAAUAAAAUGAUACACAACUCAAAAUGUCGUGUAAAGUUUUUCAAAACAAUGAGCUGGCAGAUCAAUCCAAUGGGAAAGUAACAGCAGACAAACCCAUUGUAUUUGGUCAAUAAAUCGAAAGUUCCAAAUCAUUUUGUUCAAUAAUUGUGAAGGUUGUGCAAUGAUACGACAACAAAAUAAUGGUCUCUUUUUCUCAUCUUUUCAACGAGUGCCACAUCUUCAACUUGCCCAAUAAUGAUAUUUCUAUGUCACAUCUCUUCAACUUGCAUGGAUUUUAUUUAUUGCCUCAUUCUUUGAAAUAUAUAAAAAUCCUUACACUUAAAUUAAUUAUAAAAUUUAUUUAAAAUAUUUUGGAUUGUGAAUUGAUUAGUUUGUGUUUAUAUUUAGUAUUUGUUUGUAAAUUUACCAAUUUUACAAAUUUAGAAAAAUAGAAUCCAAAUGAAUUCUUAUAAAAAUAACAUUAUAUUAUAUAUAAUUGUUGUGAGCGAGCACACCCAAAUACCUCUCUCGUGGAGAUAUGUAUUAGCCAGUAACGUGGAAUAUCCAAAAAUCAUAUGCUUUGGUUUAACAGUAUCUAUGGGCAGCCACACGUAGUUUUCCUUGGUCCCUGCUGCUAUUAUUCAGUCAAAACUUCCUCUGGUUUUCUUCCAGCUCACAACUCUCUCUCUCUCUCUCUUAUAAAAUAAAACCCAUCUAAACCUCAACAUCUGCUCAUAUUCUUAUACUGAACAGAACAGAACAGAAAGAAGAGAAACGAAAGGCAAAAAUGUCUUCAGUUGUAGGAACAUGUGUGAAGGAGUUAGCUAAGCUUAAAGAGAAGGUCAUAUCAAAGAGGCCAUUGUUGCUGUUGUCAAAAGCUAAAGAAGAAGAAAAGGAAGUUGAGAAAGAGAGCAAAGUGGUUCAUAAUAAAGAAAGUUGUAAUUCAAUGUCUGAGGCCACCAUUUGUAUGCUUAUGGACCGCUUUGCUCCUUGCUGAUUUCUUUCUUUCUAUAUAUAUAUAUAUAUAUAUAUAUAUAUAUAUAUAUAAAGAAUUUAAUUAGGGUCAUCGCUUGUUUUUUAUGCCUUUUGUAUAUGCAAUUAAUGCGAAUGUUUGGUCAUGUUUGUGCGUUGUAUAUUUUGUUGUUUUAGAUGCAACUAACUUUAUAUUUUCAAUCAAGUUCCCAAGCAAAAUACACUUUUAGUGCUGCAUCUUCAAAAUUUUUAUUGCAAUUAAGUGUUUAAAUUCCUCUGCCGUAUCCGGAUAUUGUCGCAAACCAGAAAUCAUACUGUUACUGCAUGUUUAUCCCAAAAAUGCUAGCUCAAUGAAGCACGAAAAUAAUAAAACAAAUAUUUUACCAAUACCCAGUUAACAGCACCGAUUCUUAGCUCACAUCAACAGAUCGAGUCCCUAACAGAUGUGAAAUUAUAUAUGAAUGGUGCUUGAUUGGCUUGAGAUCAAGAAUCAUUACAGACAUAUAUAACACAGUUAAGAUAUUCACAUUUUGGCAAUAGCUCCCUCACAAUGUUCACCAUUGUUAUCAAGAAUUCUGCUAACCCGUAGAUUUCUCCUCCUUUACCAGUCAUCCCAGCAAUUAGACACCAAUCACGGAAUUGAUUUUUGUUAACAAGAAGGUAAGUGAAAAAGGAAAGGAAAUGAAGAAAGAUAAACAAUUAAGUAAAAAACCUUAAAAGUAAUCUUAAAAAUUAUACUAAAAAAAUAUCAUUUCAAGCAAAAUUGCAGAUAUUCAAACAGAAAAAUAUUCUUUGUUAGAACGUGAGAUUUCUGUUAUAAAAUCCCAAGAAUGAAUUCUAUUGAGAAUUUAUGGAAAUGAAAAGAGUAGGCUAAUUUUAAUUCGUUGCACGAAAAGGAUAUGAAAUUGCAACAACCAGUGACCAGAAAACAACCCAACCAUUUCUCUUCCUCUAAACCUGACCCAAUCCCCAAUUUUAACAGAAAAUCCAUAUAAAAAAAUAUCCCUAUCUGGGUUUCGAAGAGAUUAUCAAAUGGGUACUCCUCUUUCUGACUGCGUUGGCACUGGAGUACUCCUCUAUCUAAUGGGUACUCUCUCUAAAAACUUUACAACCCCGCCAUAGCCAUUCUCUCUCUACUGUGUUCGGUGUUGUCCUCUCUUACAAACCCUAAAAGAUAAUUGUAUGUCUUGCUUUGGUUCACUUCGGGUUUGACUCAAUAUGAACCACGGAAUUCUUGAUUUGCUCUUGGUUUUAACGUGUUUGAGUUUGAAAAUACAUCUCAGCGCUACAUGCAGUCCUAGGUGUAUUUUCGGUUUGCCACAUUACUUAAAAACACCUUAUUGAAAAUAUUUUUAGAAUUUAAACACCUAAUUAUAAAUAUUUUUCAUUGAAACAUCAAAAUAAAUUUUCAAAAAAUGAGACAUUAAAUUUAUAAUUAACUCAUUUAUCAACAAUAAUUUAGGUUCACGGAAAUGGAAAUAAACAUAAAAAUUCGAGGUACGGCAUGCGUAAGACACGCUAAAUAAAAAAUAAUAUGUAUUGCAUGGUAAUAAAAACGAAAAAUCGUGUAAAAAAUGAGAUAAAUGUUUCCAAAACGCAAAAAAAGAAGAAUACUAUUGCUCAUAAACAAUAUAAUACAUACAUCAUUCCAUUUUAUUAUACAUCAUUCCAUUUUGUUUUAUUUUUUUUAAUUCAUAUAAAUAUAUUAUAUUUCAUUUUGUUUCAUUUUUUUUAAUUCAUUAGAGAUUUUUAUAGACUAAAAAUAGAAGGUAGCCCAUCACUUAACACCAAAUUAGUAAAAAUAAUUAUGAUCAAGAGGAUUCGAAUUCAAUACUUCCCACUUGUAUCAUACCACCAACUGAUUGGCAUUUUAUUUUAUCCUUUUUAUCUAUCUUUUUUUUAAUUGUAAAUAAUUAUCUAAUUUAUAUUUAAGAUCUUAAUUUAAAAUUUUGAUUAAUAAAUAUAUUUGAAAAUUUUAUACAAUUUUUAAAAGUAUCUAAAAAAAUAUUUUCAGAAUAUCAUGUUAAAGUGUUCAAAAUAAAUAAAAUAAUAAAACACUUUUUAAAACAUUCAAGACACGGCCGAGAGUGUCAGAGAGGUAUCAAUAUCCGACAUGGGUAAAUCCGACUUUUUCAAAUGCCUCUGCAGCUUAACUUCCAAUCCAUAUCUCAAGACUUUUCCCCCUUUUCCUAUUUACUGCUUUUUCAUCUCUUUAGCCUUGUCCUGUACAUGGUAUUGGUAGUGUUAAUCAUGAGGAUGAGCUUGCCUCAAUGCUGGCCGAAGACAAAUCAAUGGGGUCGUCUGGUUGUUCCCAGUUGAGAAUCUCCCUCGCAUAUCUAAGAGCUUCAUCGACAUUGUCAGGUUCCAACCCUGUAACUUGCGUAACAAACAGCUUACUAUCAGUAAGAGAUUCGAACAAUCUUUUAAAUUUAACUGCAAUAUAUUGGAACGCUCGUUGAGCCAAUGAAGGGUUUGUAUUUCUGGAACUGUUGGGAUUAUGGCUGAUUACUGGAUUGAAGUCGUGAAACCAUUCGCAUUGGUUAAGUGGAGACUGCUCAAUCUUUUCCUCCAACAAAUCAAACUUGUUCAGUAUGAGUAGAAACUUCUUCUCUUUAAAAGUUGGAUUUGUGACAAUGCUCUCAAAAAGUUGCUUGCUUGCAAUCAUCUUAUUAGUCGGAACUCCAUUACCGUCGUUCACAAACUCAUCGUAGUUGAUCAGUGAUACACAAAAUAACACCAUGUUAACAUCUUCAAACAUUCCUAGCCAUUUGCAGUUGCCUCCAAGAAUUCUUGGAUGAACUCUGAUAAGUUGGUACCUGAAAGUGCACACGUAACAGAUAAAUAUUGGACAAGAAUUACAAAAAUAAAUAAAGAAAUAAAUAAAAGAACUAACCUUAGUAAAGGAUCAUGGCCAUUAUCUUCACAUUCAUCAUGAGUUACCUUGGGAAAUGUAAACUCCAUGCAAGAAAGCCCUUUGGAUGAUGUAAUUCCCUCAGCAUAUAAGAUGUCCAUAUCAGAUGGCUCAUAGUCUUUAUUUGAAAUCUCAACAGCCUGCAUAGGAUGAUAACAUCAGGCAUUCAAUAAAAAGCAAUGACUAUAGAGAUGAUUAUGCUCUUCCCACAUAAAUAUUCAAACUUUUCUAUGUCGUUCAAAGAUACGAUCUCAAACGAAAACAAACCUUUGUUGAUUUGGAAAACUGAUCUUCAGGAAUUAACAGGAUGAGACUAAGAGAAGCAAUCUAGUUAGGUCCUAUAAGACUUCCAUUCUUUAAGGAGAAAUUCAGAACAAAACCAAGUCUAUUUUAGUUCUUCAUUCACUUUACUAACUAGUUUUUAAAUAGAUGCCACAUGAAACUGAGGCAGGACAUAGAGCAGAUAACCAAUAAUGAACCAACUAUGGUAUGGACUCAUGCUUUAUUUCUGAACCAUGAACAAGAAUUUGACAUUUCGAUGCAUGGAAGAACAGAUGAAAUUUAAUAAUAUUGAUGAACAGAGCCUAUUCUAGAACAUGAAUCAGUUAAAAUAGCAAUGAGGACAUGUAGCUUGUCCUACCCGUUCUAGGAAAUAAGUAGCAACUCUAGGCAGCGUUUCUAAUUCAUGCCUGCGGCUGUAAGUGGCUUGGAAGGCCUCAUUAUUCCACAAUUCCGCAACAAAAGGUGCAUAUUCACGACUGGCUGCUGGGAAUAUGGCUUCCAAAUUACCAGAUGCCAUUACGUUCAGAAGCCAAUCUGAGAAAGCUUUCAGUCUGGGACCAAUGGAAUAUAUUGUUUUGUUGUCAAUCUGACCUGCAUUAUCUGUUAAAAACUAAAUAAUUUCAGAUCUAAGAUAAGAAGAAAAAACAAAUUAAUUAUGUCAAAUUAUUCAGCCAAAAGUAAGCCUUUUAACCAUUAUAUAUCAGUGAGGGUCAAAUGAUAAAACAGGCUACCAUGAUUAGAAUGUAACUGAUGCAACCAUUGAAAUGAACAAUGACUAUUUUGAAUUGCCAUUUAAUUUACCAAGCUUUGAACUUUCAUUUCAUGGGGGCGUAGUACUUAUCUAGUUUUACAGGUUGAGUCACAAAUUGAGUAAAUUAGGAUUACAAUAGCUAAUUUGGGAAUCAAGAUUUAAUUCAAUUCUAGUUCUAGUAUAAUGCUAGGCCUCAUAGUUCAUGUUAUCUAGCAUUGUAAUUCACACCAACCGCACAAGAAGAGAACAUUAACAAUUUACUUGAAGAGGUAGAUACUAGUAUGAGGCCCAAGUACAAAACCACUUAGCAAGGACGGCAGAAUGUAAAGGAGGAUACACAAUCUUUGUGAUAUUGUAAGAGCCCAGCCCUAGUGUGAUAUUGUCCGCUUUGGGUGUCAAACCUGGCCUGAACCCUCACGGUUUUGUUUCUGGGCCAGGGAAACCUCCGCUCUGCCAGCCCAAAACGCGUCACACUAGUUCAAGGUUGCCACCCUUUAUGUAUAGGACUUCCACCUUGUGCGUAGCCGAUGUGGGAUUCGCCUAAGGUGUUGUGCCCCAUACCUGGGAUGUCACAUACACCCCCCCUUAGGGACUCAGCGUCCUCGCUGAGGUUUGCCCCACCACCGGCCAGAGGGACAAGGCUUGGCUCUGAUACCAAAUUGUAACAGCCCAGCCCAUGGUAGAUAUUGUCCGCUUUGGGUCAAGCAUGCAAAUGAUGUGAAAUCAAAUAUACAUUAUGAAUUAUGAAGUUAUGAACUAUGAAUAUGAUGUUGUGUUAUAUUAUUGACAUACCAACAUUAUGCUCCAUUGAGGUUAGGUAGAAACCAUGUAGAUAAGGCUAUGUCGCGACAUAGGAUAGCAGAUCUGCACCUCAUACAGUUUGAUACUCCGGCUACAGGCCGUUGAGUGGAUAUGAUUAUAUAUGGGCCAUAGCAGCCAAGCAUACAGUAUUCAUCCAGUUUCAUACAGUUUUUCUUAUCACUUCGGUUUCACUAUAACCUUAUGGAGCCAUACAGAUAUCUUGACAUAACAUUUCAUGAAUUAUACAGUAUUAUAAACAAUACAAAAGAUAAUCAAAGUAUCAUGAUGUGUGUGCUUAUAUGUGUUUACAUGGUUCUUUCUAUACAUGUAUGUGUUUAAUUGUUUCUUUAUAUGUUGAGAUAUCCACUGAGCUUUAUUUGCUCAGCGAGUUACCUGUUUAACUCGCAGGUUUUGAGUUUGGACCAUAGAGAGUCGGCUUACAACUGCUGUAGUUCAUCUGUAGAAGACUCAGUCUUCAGGGUAGCUACUCAUUUUAAUAUGUAUCUUUUGUCUAUCCUUUUCAUGGCAUGUACAGGGCACACAGUUGGGCCCAUUUCAUUUUGACAUUAGUAUCAUGUUUUGUAAAUAUAAAUUACAUUAUUUUUGUAUACAACAUCAGCACGUUAUUAUAUUCAGUAUACAUUAUGACUUCAGCAUGUCAGGCCAUACAGUCAACCAGUUUGUAUCGUCUCGACUCGGUUUAUUCGGGUUUACGGGUGGACCGGGAAGGGGUGUUACAGAUAUUAUAUGUUUAAAUGAAAACCGAGGGAAUAUGAAGGCUGAUCAAUAUAUAUACACACACAUUUUCUUCAUACAUUAAAGGGAAAUAGUUACCACAAGUAAUUUAUGCACCACCAGAUUCGAUUAAGAUAGAGAGAGAGAGAAGAGAUACCACAGAAAAUAAGUUUCAAGUGGAAGAACUUAAAAAUCUUUAGCAGCUAACCUGAAGAAUUACAUUGGUCAAUGAAAUGUCUUUUCUUGUUAAUCAGGCUUUCUUCCUCAAAUCGUUCACGUGCCUCAAGCAGUAUACCAAGAUAACCAUAUAAAUUACUUUGAAUCAUGAGCUUAAUAUUUUGACGCUCAUCUUCUGAAAAUGGAACACGGUAGACGAUUUUUGCCUGAAAUAAACAUCUAACUAAAUCAACAACUGGUUUCUUAUAAUACUACCAUGAAUCAAGGCAGCCUUUAGUAAUGAAAAGCAGGAGCAUACAUACAAGCCACUUUCCCUUUCAUUUCUUUUCUUCUAGUUAACAUGACAGCAUAAAACCACUUAGUACUUUUUUUUUUUUUUUCCAAACAUCACCUUUUUCCCAGUGGUUUGGAAUACACAUACAUACACAGAAAGUGUGAUGAAGCGAUUCCUCAGCAAUGUGACACUUAAGCAGAUGGAUUUGAACUGAUAAAACCAGUUAAUCACCUGAAGCAAAAUGGUCUAUUCUUCUAUGCUUGGAAAGCUUGACCACGUGAAAGAAAUGUAUUCAUAGGACUUUACAAGGAUAACAUAGCCUAUGAUGUUCAGACUCAGAAGAAUCAGCUAGCAAAGGCAUGCCAUGUUCUUUGUCAGGAAAAGCAUGAUAUCUUGCAGGAGAGCAUCACAUUAUGCUUAUAUGCAUAACAUGAAGCAGAGAAGGCAUGCGUGACAUUGUGCAACUAAGGGAUUCUUAGAUGAAUGAAGCUAGAAAGGCAAAAACAACUGCACUUAUUAUUUAAAACCAAAUUAUUCUGUUAGUAUACAAAUUUUCUGGUAUUAUUAUGUGUGUUUUCAAUUGUUGACACACAUAAUACUAGUUAAAAACCAGCAUCAGGUAUUGAGCUUCCCAGUUCUCAAAAUAUACUGAAAAACUGUCUUACACAAAAUCAAAACAAUAUAGCAUAUGGCAGAAUAUAUGACAUAUUUGUUUCUGGCUUUACUCUCAAGUAUUCUCCAUCAUGAUGCAUUUAUGCUGCGAAAGUUUAUAGGUAAGUGGAUUUUUGCUGUCAGUUUCUGAAGUUCUUUUUCUGAUUUCCUUCAAUAAACAUAGAUCCGCAUAAAGUAUCACGUAGGAUGCUAUCUAUGAUUAUGCCAAAGGAGAAGAGAUGAACAUGGUUGAAAAGAAGCUACUCCCUUAUGAGUCAUCAUAUAUGAACAGUGAUAUAAGAAAAGUAAACCCUGACUGAUUUCUUACCUGUUUAUAUAUGGUACUUGUGCCAGAUUUUCCAUAACCAACAAGAAGAAGUUUAUAAAAUGUUUUCUUGUUGAAGCUUUUUGGGUCAACACCUUUCAUUUCUUCUACACUAGGACUGGAAGAACCAGGGGGAGUUGGCAAAAAUAAUACAGCACAAAAAAACUUUGCUCUAUUCUGAAAAUGAAGCAAUCCACUAUUAUUAAAAGUUAAAUAAUUAAGUUGGAGCAGGUAAAAUAAAUAUGCCAUUCAAAACCAUAUUUAAUGAAUGGAUUCGUAAAUCCACAUGCCAACAUACCAUUUCCCAUAUUUUCCCUUUCACAUUGUUCAUUCCCUCUUCCUGAUAUGAUCCAUCUGCACUAAGCCAAAAGUGAGUUGUUCCUUCAUAUUUCACUCCUAUCAACUGCAAAGAUUUAACGAACAGCAUCAAAUCUAGAUGUUAUAAAAAAAAAAAAAAAAAAAAAAAAAAAAAACCCCCUUUUCAUUACCCAAAAAAAACCCGCAGCACUAGGAGGCCNNNNNNNNNNNNNNNNNNNNNNNNNNNNNNNNNNNNNNNNNNNNAAAAAAACUAGAGUUUAAAAAAAAAAAAAAAAAAAAAAAAAAAAAAAAUAGAACCCCUUGAUCAUAUCCAAAAAGCAACCUGCAGCAUUAGGAGCUCUGGUUUAGUUAUCUCGCGAUUAUUUAUUAAAAUAUUUGUGUUUCCAUUGCUUGCAUCUUGCUGUAUGUGACCUCCAACAUUCAAAUCGUGGCUAAUUAUUUGGCAAGGCUUCUGUCCUUCCUGUUCACCAAAAGAAUGAAUACAACAUUGCCAUAAAACUGAGUUAAUUGUUUACCAAAAUCACACACACAGACACACACAGCAGAGUUCAAUAAUCACCUUUCCCCAAAAGCCAGAUACUUUAUCAUACCAGUAGUAUCCCGGUUUUAGCUUUUUGGGUGGGUAUUGACAGUUCUGCAAUAGGAAUAAUUCCUCUUUAGAAAGACGCUUGCGAUUGACGUAAACAAGCUCUGGUGGUAGUUGAUUCACUUCACAAAACCUCUCUGAACUCAUUAUCUGUUUAACUUCCAAUUCAGGCAAUAGUUGCUUUAGCACACGAGAACAUUUUCCCAAGGUCUUUCGCCUUGCCUCAUCAAUCUUUUGACCAAUGCAAGUCACGCAUUUUCUUCCUUCUGGCAUUGACCCCAUUGCCCUCAACACGCACUUAUAACAAUACUUUGCACCACAGACAAUGCAAAUUUCCUUCUCUGUAAACCUAUUUCCUUUCAAGCAUCGAUAACAUGUUCCUUUCUUUCCAGGCUUUACAGCCAUUUGCCUCGCAGGGAUGUUACUUUCGACCUCAGAUACAUUGGAUUCUUCCUCACAUACAUCGCUGGAAUCAGGGCUUCGGAAGGUUACAGUUGAUGGCCUUCUGACAUGGCAAGGAUCUUCUUCAACACAAUCCUCUUCUUUGCCAGAAAAAAUCUCGGAUGAUAUGGAACAGGAACUUAAAUCAGAUUCUAUUGAUUCACAGUUUGCAGGAUUCAUAUAAUCCUGAAAAUAUUCACUACUAUCAUCCUUACUAUGAUCACAUAAUUCCACCAUUUGUGAGUUUCCACAUAAUUCAUGAGAAUUAUCAUGGCCACUGCAUAAUUCCAUUUUACCAGAGCUUUGAAUAUCAUCAGAUAACUUGGAUUCACACUUGCCACCAUUAGCAAAUUCCAAUCUACCAGAAGUUGAUUUUCCAUUAGAUGAUUUGGAUCCGCAAUCAAUGCCAUUUGCAUGAGCUAAUGUACUUGAUUUAUCUACCCUUUUGGAUAAUUCACUUGGCGCAUCAUUUCUGUGCAACACCCCAUUUGUUCCUAAUUUUGGCUCCUUAGAGAGCUUCUUGUUUGAUGAAUUAGACUUUACAAUAGGUUGAAUAACUGGCAAUAACACAUCCUUCGAUAGUGAGGUGGAGGCAAUUUUGUCAGCAAUUGGGAGUUGGCUAAUAUCAACAGGCACUGCUCGGGGGAUUUCAUGAAUAAUUGGAGGGCCAGAGUAUUCAGCAGCAAAUGAGUAGGAGUAGGAGUAUUCAUUAUAAUCAUCAUCAUUUUCUUCUUUAGAAGUUGAUUGUGCAAAAGGCAUAACUAUUCUAAAUACCCUGGCCAUCUUAUAGUUGUAAUGCAAAACACAACAAUAUACCAGUAAAACCAACUACUUCAACACUUCAAAGCAUAACCAAUAAUUUCAAUUAGCCAAUUGAAGCAAAACCAUUAAUGUGGGGGAAAACAUCCAGCAAAACCACUAAACUCAAAAUCCCACAAAGCAAAACCAAUAAUCUUGCUAAUUAAAGAAGCAAAAUAAAUUCUAUCAAAAAACCAUGAAGCAAGAUCAAUUUUUUCUACAAACCCAUGAAGCAAAAGUAAGUGAAAAUAAAAAUAAAGAGAAGCUCCAGUUGUUCUCCAGAAAGCUCCUCUAUCAUUCAAGAAGAAACUUGCAGCAACAUAAAAAAAUUGGAAAUGAGAUCUACAUCUUACCAGUGCAAGUCCAUCUUUGGCAAAUAGGGAGAAAAAGAGAAAACUAAGUCUUCUUGCGUUGCUGUAAACGGCAGAGACUCGAGAGAUGGAGACAUUUUCAAGAAAUUUAUUUCCUUCUCCAUUUUCCUUUUUUUUUUUUUUUCUACGUCAACGCGUUGAAGGAAAUUGCAAGGUAUUUGAUGAGAAAUUUGGCGGUUCUUUUGCAUGUACGGAUCAGACGUUGGUGAAUCCACUUAUUUUAUGCCAAAACACUGAACUUCAGAAGCCGGGUUGGUUUUGUUGGCAAUGGCAGGAAAAAGAAAAUCCAAGGAAGUGGGAACUCAAAUUUAAAUUUUCGCGGAAACUUAAAUAUAUCUUUAUUUACGGCCUAAUAAAAAACAACCCCUUACAAUUCUAUCUUAUUUUUAACUUUAUAUAUAUAUAUAUAUAUAUAUAUAUAUAUAAGUGUAAUUUAAAAUAAAAUCUGGAUAUUAGUUGAAUUUUAUGGUUGAAAUAAAGUUAGAGUUUGUUUUUUGUCCAAUUUCAAUCAUAAAGUGUAAUUAAUGUCAACGUUUUAUUUUAGAAUAUAUUUAUCAAAAAAAAAAAAAAAAAGUGUAACCGCGACAUAUCUUAUUAAAUUUCUAAACUUUAAUUUGUCGAUAUGGAAUCAAUAUACUCUUAUUUUGAUAAAAAUUAAAAUUUCUAAUUAACUAAAAGCAAAUAACAAAUUCAAGUAGCUAAUGUCAAUAAAAAGAUUCAAUAAGAUGGAAAAUAUAAGUUGAAGGGUUUAGCUUUAACACAAAUAAAAAACAAAUAAAAGUUUAUUAAUUUAAUAAACUUUGCAUUUGUCAUCAAACUAACAUAAACUACUAAUUUAAUAAAAUUCAAUUUCAGUAGCUCUAAUUUUAAUAGUGCAUAUCAACACAUUAAUCAUGUACAUUAAUAAAAAUGCUCAUCAUUAAAUUUUUGACCACAAGAAGCAUCCACCGUCAAUAUAUAUAUAUAAAUACAAAAUCAUGAUGCAUAAAAUUCUAUGCGAUUUACCUUUUGUCACUUUCAAGUUUAAAGAAUUUAUCAUGACUUUAUACUUUCAUAGAAUUUAUCAUGACUUUAUACUUUCAUAUUUCAGUAAUAAUUAUGUCACUCGCCGGAAUAAAAUGUAAAAAUAUAGUAUCAUAAUUGAACUUUUACUAAAUUAUUUAUUUUAACGAUGGAUAUAGUUAUUAAUAAAAUGUAAAAUUAUGAUAAGUUCUUACAGAUUUGAGAAUGCUGAAAAAUAAAUUGCAUAAAUUUUAAAGGCAAAUAGAUGCAUUUUAUCUGUAUAUAAAAAAGAAGCGAGCGUCGGGAGUCAUAAGUGACUAUUUGACUCAUUCCAUAAUCCAUUAAUUCAUAUUCAUGAACCAACACACACAUGAAACAUGACCACAAAAACUAUGACCCAUUCAAAGUUCUCAUUUCAUCAUUUCAAAAUCAAGUCAAAGCCCACAAAAGGAGCUUCCAAAUAAGAAAUCUCUCUCUUUAUUUUUUUUUUUUUUUUAUAUAUGUAAUUUUAAGAUUACGAGUUAAAUUUAUUAAUUAAUUGUUUUACUUAGUCCAAGCUAACAAAAAAUAUUAUUGGAAGACGAGAAGUAGCAAAUGGAUGCUCUAGAGCGACUAUCCAAACACUUAACAAGUUAAAACUUAGUGAGAGACUUUGAAUAGGUAUUUACUCAUUUUUUUGGAUUCCACGCGUCUAGAAAAUUAGUGGGAAUUGAUGGGAAAGUGGAGGAAAAUGACAUCUUUUAUCUUUUCUUUUCCGUCUAUAUUAAGAAAGAACUAUAAUCAUGGGCUUUUGAACUUCCCAAACAUAAGAAUGUAGAUUUUCAUAGAACACUUGUCGUUUAUGUGAUAUUCAUUGAACUAAUUAUUUAUUUUAAUAUUCAAUGAAACUAAAUGAAUUUUCUCCGAUCAAAUCUACUAUAUUAAUGUUGGUUUUCUCACUUAUGAGAAGAGUGGGAGAUCUCGAAUUCGAGUUCUCUCGAUCACAGUUAUUUUUACCAAUUUAGUGAGCCAAGGGAUCAAUUUAGUGAUCCAAAAAAGAAGGGCUACCGCUAUUGUAUAGCCUGCAAUAUUAUUUUGACUCAUAAAAACCUCCGAUAAAUUUAAAAAAAAAAAAAAAAACUACUAUAUUAAUACAUGGGUUCUGCUUGUUUUCUCUUUGGACUGAGAAAAAUAUUUUUGAUAUACCAUCUUUCAACAGAUAAAAAAAAUCUUUUCCUUAUCAUCUAUAAAUAAGAGGGAAACUUGUUUCUUCCUACAUAAAUUGAUUUUUCACUACAACAUCAAUUGUUUCUACCUUAAAAAUAAAUACUUGAUAAGGUGUUAAAACGCGUAAAAUAAAUAAAAUUUAUCUAGUCAGUUCAUCUCAAAAAGAAUUUUUCUUUUUAUUUUAGCCUGCAAAUUUAAAGAUCUAAUUGUUUUAUGAAGUUCAUAAUUGAGUUUUAUUAAGUUCAUCUCAAAAAGAUUUUUGUAUUAGGUUAAGGUCCAAUCCAGGCCUCAUCUUAGCCCAGAAGAAUCUACAUCUUUCCUAAUCAUUUCAUCUUGGCCCGUGAGCAGAAUUCGGUUAAAGCUUAGAAUUUGGAGGCUCAUUUAAGCCUAUAAAUUGGCUUUUUUUUUUUUUUUUUUUUUUUUAAACCACCAGUUUCCGGACCCUAUUAUCAAGGACUGACUAAUUUGGAUUGAGACUUAGUCACAGUUAAAACUCUUCACCUCUCCCUGCAGGUGUAUUUAUUGGGAAUCAAAUUCGAAAGCUUUUCCCACAUGCUCAAUCUACAUUUCAAAUUGAGCGACAACCGUAGGUCUACAAAUUAGCUUUCUAAUACAUAAUAGUAUUUAUGUUUAGGUGAACGUAUGACAUUAUGACCCUAAAUUCAAUUUAAAUUGUAAUUGAUAAGGUUAGGAAAAGUCAUAUAUAACCAAGAACAAGCAAUAACAUCAGCAAAAACAAGAGCCUCCAACCUACAACAAACGAGCUAGAGCAAGUGGGACGCAUGAAUACACAUGUAUUGCUUUCAUCCCUACCCAUAUAGAAUAGGUGGGAUAUUAGUUAGCAUAGAUUCAUAUGAGAAAAGCACUCUCAGCGGAAAUUUUCUCCAUUCACAAUGAUCGAACACUCGACCAAUAAUCUAAAUUAUUUUUACUAAGAUCAACCUUCAUUGGUGAUUGGAUACAGUUAGUUUUUGCUUAUUCUUUUUUUUUUUUUUUUUCAAAAAUAAGCUAACUGUGAAAUAAAAAAUAAAUGAUAAACUAAAGGGAAAAAAGCCAAUAAUUGAUAAAUGUGUGUACUAUACUACUUUCAAAUAUAUGUGACAGACAGUUCUCUUCUUGCUCAAUUGAUUGAUUGAUAAAACGUCACCUUCUUCUUAUUCUUCUUCUUCAAGAAUUGAUCAUCUAAAUUUCAUUUUCGUGUUUGCUUCAGCCAGAGGCAACUUAUACAAUUAAACACAAUAUGGUACUCACAAACUUGAAUGUAAGACACUUGCAUUUAUAUAUAGGUUUCUGGUUUUUAGUGCACCAAUCACUGUCUGCUUAUUUUUUCUAACAUUUUCUUUCCCAUAAUUAGUUAUUUUCAAAAAAUGAGGUGUUCAUAUAUUAUAUAUUACCAUUUCAUGUGACCAUUUUGUCGUAAUUGAGCUUUAGGUAUAUACGAAUAGUGCAGUUGCUAUCAUGUCCUGUUGAAGAAAUUUCUCAUUAAAUGCCAUAUUUUCAUGCAAUUUUGAAUUUCAGUGUAACUAUUUGUGUAUCCAUUUGGGCGGCUGGCCACACAAUCCAAAUGUACCAAUAAUAUCACUUGCGUCAAACUCUCAACAUUAAAUUCAUACGUAUAUGAAAAUAUUUUCAUUAAACACAUAAAUAUCACUAUUUUAAAGACAUUAACACUGUUUAUAUAAUUAUAUUUGGUAGAUCUUAAUGUUUAUCAGAUGCAUUUUAAUAUAAUGUAUAAAUUUUAAUUUUAUUUGAUUAAUUUGUGUAUAUUUACAUUACGGCUAAUCAAAUAUAUAGUCUAAUAUUAUAUUAAAAAACAAUUUAAUACGAAUAUAUGCUACCAUAAAUUAUUACUAGAAUCAGAAUAUCUUUUGUAGAAAUUAAUUUUGUACACUUCUGAAUAACUUUGUUACAAGCCAUAGAUGAUAAAAUAUACAAAAUUCAAAUUAUAUAUAUAUAUUUACAACUAUAUAUUCUACCAUAUAAACAAACUUCCACACCAAACUACUAUUUGAUGGCUAGUUUUCUGGUUCUUCCACGUAUGUUUUUGAGGAUAGGACACAAGAAAAUGUCCACAUUGCUUCACUCAUGAGGAAACCCUAAUUUAUAAAAAUAAAAAUAAUAAAAAAAAAGGAUGGUUGGUUGCUUGCAAUUUUGUGGUUGUUGCCUCUAAUAUCUUAUAACCAAAUGGUCCAUUCCAUUUCCUAAACCAUCGCUGUACCCCCUAUCUCAAUGACACUGUAUAUGUAUAGGACCCACCCUAUAGAAUGGCAAUGUCCUUUGGCUCCGCGUGUUUUCACGCGCCAUUUAGCUCGACUCAUCUUUCAUUUCUAACUGUGAUUUAAUGGCCUUUGUUUGUGGUCGGUGAAGAAUAACUUAGCGUAGGUGAUUGGAGGUGAUGGUUCUCUCUUAAAUCUGAUGCGUGUAUGCUUUCUGACACGCGCCAAACCUUUACGGACUUGUCUAAGCUUCCGCUGUAUACUAUCCACCGUUGAUCUCCUUUGUCGGAGUACUGAUGAUGAUCGUCUUCUUCAGCGGCUAAGCAUUUCACUGGCCCACCAUGACCACUCAAAACCGACAAGCAAAUGUGGACCCCACUGGGCUCUCUCUUCCAUACACAUAUGCUUUUAUCCGCGGACCCACUCAACACCAAAUUACCGGCCGUAGCUAAACACAGGACGGCCAUUUUGUGACCCCGGAGGACCCCACCAUGUGAUAGGUGCUUUUCACGUUCCCAAAAAUUUAUCAAUCCAUCAGAAGAACCGCAGUAAAUCACAGCUGAUUCUUGAUUUACUGCCAAUGCCGUUACCGCGCUUUCUUGUUUUAACAGUGUUUGAACCAAAAAAUGCUUUGUUCCCCUUCCCUGAAGCUCCCUUCGCCAUACUUUCACUGUUCCAUCAGCUGAACCUGUAAAUACCAAUGAAUCAAACCCAGUAACAACUGAGUUUAUCGCGUCAUCGUGCGCGUUGAUUGAUUCCAGACAUUUAUAGUCUGAAAGCCGCCAUACUUUCAGGGUUUUAUCCCAGGAUCCUGAGUAGAACAAACCCUGAUCUUCAUUCAAGCUCAAACAAGAAACCGCGUCGAAAUGCCUUAUUCGUAGAACGUUUCGAUGUCUGCGAACUUCUACGUAAUUUUUAGGGUUAACAGCUUUCUUGAUGUACUCUUUGAAAGAAGGUAAACUUCCAAUUCUUUUAUGAACACUAGGGUCUUUAGCAGACGUCUUCCAGAUUCUGAUCUUGCCAUCCUGAUGACCAGUGAAAAUCUUGUCUUUGUAUAUAACAAUGGCUUUAACUAAACCGCUAUUUGAUUUAAAUCCCGAGAACUCCUUCAGAUUCCUCCAUACUCGUAUGUUCUUGCUGUCAGAGCCAGUAUACAAUAAACCACCAGAAGAAGCUAAAGAAUAAACGUGACCUUCUUCGCGUACAAUGGAUCCAACAAGACCAUUGUUGUUGUGUUUAGGGUUGAUAAUCAUUGGAGAUGGUAUUAUCCAUGGAGAUUUAGAAUAUGGAGAUGGCUGGCUCCAAGGAGACAUCAUAUAAGGAGAAGCUUCACCACUUCUAGGUGAUCUAGGGCUUGAAAGAGAAGCUGAACUGUUUUUUUGGCUAAACGAGUAAUUAUUAUCAUCUUCUUGGUUAGGAAAGAUUGCAGGAUCAGAGUGCAAGAGAGCACCCAACUUGGGUCUGUUUAAACAACCCGUCAUUUGCUCUGCAACCAUGCCGGUUUCUUGUAUCAUAUAAGGCAAUUGAAGAAAAGCUAAGAGAAAGAACGUUAACGGUGGAUUGUUGUUGAAAGAGAAAAUAAGAGAACUACUGGAAAGAAUUGAGAAGGGUAAAGGUGUUUACAUAGGAGAGGAUUUAAGUAUUGGUUGGUGAUCUAAUGGUGUUAUAAGCUAACACGUGGAGUUAUUUGAAAUACGUAAUCGUUACGACCGGGAAACUGGGUGUUCCGGUAAUAAAAAAACGAAAAUAACUUUUGUAACAUGAAAAAUGUUUUGGAUUUUUGCAGGCGUUUAAGGUUUACACGCCAACAUUUGCAAGGGAAAACAAGAUUAAAUUUUCAGCUUUUUGUUUCAACCUUCCUAGAAUUGCAACUUUAUACUCAAUGAAAGGAAGGAAGGCAUCUUGGCAUCUUGCGGUUUUCACAUUGCUGACUUUCAAUUUAUCCAGAAACCAAGAUUUUGACCUUUGACGAUGUCAAGAUAUGUUUUUGACUGCUAAAACGAUGCCGUUUCCAUGUUUUCCAUGUCAUUUUUAUUUUAUCAUUUUUUUCCUUUUUAUAAUUAACAUCGGUUUGGAAGAGAGAAUAAUCAUUUCUGGAUUGGAAAACUACUACAUUUAAAGCCUUUUUCUAAGAUACUAGUUGUGUUCGAUAAUAAUUUUUCAAAAAACUUUUAGGAUUUUGACUAUUUUUUAUCGUGUUCGGUAAUAUAGCAUUUGAAUUAGCUUUUAGAUAUUUAGAUAACAUCUUAUAACGUUUAAUUUUAGCGUUUUAUGAAAAACUAUUCAAACAGCUAAUAACUAAUAAAUAUUAAAAUAAUUAAUUUUACCGAACAAAUCACAGUCUUCCAGAACCGAUGUUCCGGUUGCUUAUAACAAUUAACUUUUGUGUCUGGUGGCCUUAGCUGGCGUGAAUACUGAACAGUAUGUUCUGACAAUUAAGUUCUGAAUUUUGACUUCCAUAGAAAGGAGAAAACGAAAUUGCCAUAACAAGCUAGCAUAUAUUUUCAGGUGAGCUAAUAACGAAAAACCCUCGAGCUGGAAAGCUCUAAAAAGUCAUAAUUAUGUUGACUAGUUAUCACAUUUGGCAACUCAAUUCACGCAUGCUAAAUCUUAAUUACGUACCACUCGUUAAUGACUUUAUGGAUUAAAAAUUAAUUACUAUUUCAUUAUAUUUAUUAUGCCGGGCAAGAAAAUCAAAUACAUCAUAUCCUUCACGUCAAUAUUGCAAAGCUUUAAAAUGGCGGCAAACAUCAAGUCCAUUGAUAACAACCUUAGUUGAAAGCUACUAACUAAUUACCCCCAUGAUCAUUCUAGUCUUUUAGAUUUUAAUCUUUGGUUCUCAUUUAAGUUACGAACAGUCACAUGGGAAACAAAGCGCAAGUCAGAAGUUGGUGAACCAUAUGUACGCUUUUUCAUUUUUUUUUUCUUAUAUUUGUUGUAAGAAGUAUUUUUGAAUUAGUUCAAUGUAUUGAAAUUAAGUCUUCACCAUCGAUAUUAGAAUUGUAUUUUUCUAACUGCAACGACCGUUACUGAUGUUAAAAUACACUUUGAAUUUAGGAAAAUUCGAAAAUAUUUAUAGAAAGGAUAAUCACAAAUCGCGAAAAACAAUAUUAGUCUCAUUUAAAAAAUAUAUUUGUAAUAAAGCUGUAAUUCUAUAUAAAAUUAUAUUAUAUCUUACACGUGAUAACAAACCAAUAGUGAAUAAUAACGUGCAUAAGUGAAUUCUAUAAAUUUUGUAAUCUUUUUUCUCUUUAUUUUUUUUUUAAAUUUCAAAAAUUAUAUUUUGUAAUUAUGGAGUAUUUAUAUUUUAGUAGUAAAAAGAAAUAUGAUUUUCUAUUUUAAUUUGAUUAAUUUAGAAUACAUUAAUCUAAUGCAUUUAAAAAAUUUUGUAAAUAAAUUCCACCUGAUUAAUUAAAAAAAAAGUGGAGCAACUUGUGCUUUUUUAAUUUGGUUUCUCCAAAGGAAAGUGUUGAACUGUUCAUUCAUUCUUAAAGAGCGUACCGCGGCAGAACCGUUUUUUUCGUUCGCGUUUUCACGCGCCGUAAAUGUCAACGGACGAUGCCACCUAAAUCUGUGAGUCUGGCAGAAGAUAGCGACAUUUCCCUUAUUACCGUCAACGGCCGCUUGAGGGAACAUUAUCCCCUCUUUUGCCACGUGGUCCAAGAGUAGAUUCCCAUUCACCAAUCUCUUUGCGACACGGGUAAACUCAGUCAUGCUACGUUAGCAUGAAUGCAUGAUGAUAUGAGCUAAUUCCCUCUUUUGUUUUUUUCAAGAGAAUUAUGAAAUAAAAAUUAAAGAUUUUUGAGAUUGUAGAGUCUAGCUUAAAAGCAUAUGCAAUUAAAUAUUAAGAUUUUAUAUUUUCAAUGUAAGAACCAAGUUUCACAUCUUCCAAUCAAAAUAAUAUAAUACAAAAUAUCUAAUUUAUAUUAGAAAAAUUAUCAUUUAAAUUACUAACAACGUAUUGUUGAAGCGGUAAAUAAAUUCAAUUUUUAUAAAAAUAAAAAUACAAAUUCGACUGCAUAAAGUAUAAGAGAUUACACCUUCUAUUUCUAUAAAAAGAAAAAUAGCUUAAACUUUCUUAUUAAAUAAGUAGUAUAUUCUUAAUUAAAUAACUAAAGGAAACAUUUGCUUAAAGUUCAAAUUUAAUUUUUUGUUUUCAUAUCUAUAUUACUUUUAGUAAAUUUGACUUGUAAUUUCGAAUUUUUUGGAACAACUUCAAUAAUAUUGAGAUGCAAAAUUCAUUCAUAUUAUUCAAAUAAAAUAAUCUUUAAAAGCAUAACAAUUAAAUAAAUAAAUUGACAAGUUAAACAUUAUUUUAACAUAUAUGUAAGUUGGGAGUGGUGGGAAAACAACGGUUCUUCUAUAUAAUAAAGAAAAUCCCUUUCAAACCUACGGAUUGUGGUUCAGUUAACAAUGCAAGCUGGACAUAUGGAAAAAACUAUCGGUUCGAUCCCACUAAAUGCACAUAUAGGGAAAAGUGAGGAGUUUUAAUUGUGACUAAGUCUCUAGUCAGAUUUGGCGGUUCUUAAUAAUGAUGAGGUCCAGAUACCGAUGAUUUAAAAAAUAAAACAGACAAGCGCUUUCAAAAACUUACGGGAAAAAUAUAAUAAACUGAGUUAGGUGCUUCUUUGUAUCACCCUGUGUAUGUUAACCUAAUUUCAGUUAGACAUCAUUCUUAUUAAGCCACUGGGUUGUCCAUUCUUGGAAAAUUUUCUCUAAAUUAACAAAUGAAAAUUUAUUAUUUAUAAAUAUUAUUUCAGAAUUAAAGUCAGGUUCCUGAAACAAAAUAAAAAUUUAUUUGAGUGUGAAUUUGAAAUACCUAAAGAACAUACAUUAAUUUCAAAUUCAAGUCCAAGAAGUUAUCAUCCUCACUUUAUGAAUCUCUUUACAUUCAUCUGUAUCUAUCUAUAAUUUAUGAUAUAUGUAAUUAUACACAUAAAUUGACUAAGAAAUAUUUUUUAAGAAAUCGUUAAUAAACAUUUUUAAUAGUUAAAAUUAAUUAUAUAUAUUUCUAUAAGCAAUCUUGUUUCCCAGUUUACAAAUUAUUUCCUGAUUAACAUAAAUUGUUGCCUAAUUGUUGUAUUUUCUAUUUGAUUUCAUUGGUACCUAAUUAAUUAACAAUUGAUAUAUUUUUAUUUUUUCUAUUUAAUUUCAUUCAUUCCUUAUAAAUACGACAUACAAAUUUUUAAUAUUAUAUGGUAUAGAAGUAAAUAAAUUUGAAGGAAAAAUCUAGAUGAGUGCAUGCAUUUUUUUUUUCUUAUUAAGUAUUUUAAUAAAUGAUUUUUUUUAUCAUUGUCAUUUGAUAUAUACAACUUAUUUUUAUAUACAAAUAUAUCUUUAAAAUAAACAAUUUUUUGUUUAUAUUUCCUUUAUAUCAACUAAGUUCAUAAGUUUUUAGAAUAUAGCAAAAUUAUUCUAUAUUUCUCAUAGGAAAAAAAUUUUUAUAGUAUUAUUCCCUAAAAAGAAUUAUAGUAAUAUUAUUAAAUAUUUUCUAUUUAAUAAUAACUGUUGUCCUAUAUUGAUUUGCAAAAUGUGUUCAAUCAAAAUAUAAGACUUGACGAUCUUCAUUUUCUUGAACUAACUUUUAAGAAAUGGGUUAGAUCUGAUCUAUUUUACUAACAUUGUAUCAGAGCUCAUAUAUAUUUACCUACAAACUUCAUGCUCUAGAUGUUAAUUCUAAAAUUUAUAACAAUUAAAUAUAUCAAAACAUGCUAAAAUGAAAAUAUACAAACAAGCAAAUUAACAGAAUAAAUGAUAAGUAAAUAAUAGAAUAUAUAAAAAUAAUUUUCAUUAAUAAUUUUCAAUAGUAGGCUUCACAAAAUCAUUCAAAUUGUCUAUAUGCAUUGCAUCCAAAUUAAUUUUCAUUUUCUUCCUAUUUAUGUAGGAAAUAAUUACAUUUAUUGUGUGACGGUAAGAAAAAAAAAAAAAAAUUUAUGUUUCGUGUCAAAUGGAAGGAACAGAAUAGUAUAAGACAUAUAUCGUUAAUGGGAGCUAUGCUAAUGUCACAGUCAUCGUAGGCUACAAGUUGUAACAGAGGACACUUGUCUCUAUUCUCUACAUACCAUACAAAACUAGAAUUUGAAAGAGCUAUAUCUGUACCCAAGGAAGGAAGAACAACUUUAAUCCUGCAUAAGACAAGUGUAAAGUGCAAAAUCCUUGUCUGCCAAUAUUUAAUAUUUAAUAAUUGCAAAUAUUUAUAUUUUGAUAUUUAUUGAUAAAUAUGAGGAGAUGACAAAAGAAAGAACAUAUUUUUAUUUUUAAUUAAUUAAUAAUAUGUCUGUUAACCAUCAAACAUGUCUCUAAUAAUAAUAAUUGAUGUAUUGCUUACUUUUAUUUGUUAAUUAAAUUAAAUAAUUCUUUUAUAUACAAUAUAUUAUUACUCAAAUCUGGGAUUUGUCUGAUAAUCUUCAAACACUUUUCUUUACAGAUGAUCAAACUUUCUGUAAUCUUGCUGAUUUCAUGGCAACUGGCAAGAUUAUAUUAGCAUAAACAAAUGGCUACAAGAAAAUAUAUGUAAAUUAAAAAAAUAUAUUUUUAGAGUUUUAUAUGGCACGUAGCUUUGUAUCAGCUACAAAGCAAAUCAUGCAUGCGAAAUUUUUUUUGCUUGACAUUGACGACAUGUCGCUUGAAUACAUAAGCAGGAAGGUCUAGAAAUUAAUAACAAUGAGUAGGACUAAGACAAGUGUUCUUUAAUUAAUUAAAAUUAAAUAAUUAACCAGGUCUUUUAAUACCAAAAAAGUAACCAACCAGGUUUUGAAUUUUUAUAUAUGAUUUAUGACUAAGGACUUAACCACAAUCCCUUAAAAAAAAUUCACAUAUCUUGUCGUGUUGAAUGAUCUUGUUGUCAUUGGAUUAUAUAUUUUAAUAAAAUGGUAUUAUAGCAAUAGGAAUUAGGGUUCAUUCAACUAGAGAAAAAAAAAAUUAAUUAUUAGGAAUUUAAUCAUACAUCCAAGAUUUGAAAUAUAAUAAAAAAAAAAAUUAAAAGUGGAAUGAAAUUUACAUAACCCAAAUUGAAAUUGAAAUUUAUUAAAAUUUCAACAUGAAUGAAUCUCGAAACGUUAAUGAAAUCUGAUCAUUGGAGUGAAACUUACUUAACCCAAAGCGAAUAUAACAAAUAUUAAAACUUAAGAGCAAUCAAAAUAAAUAAAUUUAUACUAAGAUCAUUCUAUUUUGAUAUUUUAUUAAAAAGGCUUAAUAUGAAAUUAGAAAAAUCACACCUCAAAAUUAAAUUGUUGCAUUGUAUUUUUAAGUUCAAUCAUAAUUCCAUUUUGAUAGUACAGUGUUGGAAGGGAAUCAUGUGUACUUUACACAUCCUUUUUUUGGGUGCUUCAAAGAAAAAUAUGAUUGUAAAACUAUGGUGUCUUAGACAUUAUUGUGGUUCAUAUCAGAAUCUUUCUAACAUAUCUCAAACAAAACAGCAGGUACAGAAAGAACUGUUCCUUCUAUCAUUGCUGCUAUGUUGUUGGCCAUACACAAUUAUUUCUUGGAAAAACCCAGAUACUUCUCUUUGUUGUCCUUUCCUCUUGUAUGGUUGUAUCUUGUUCUUUUUUCACUUUUCAUGCUUUUUAUUGUUUUUUUUUAAUUAAUUCUAAAAAUCUCUUUUAUUGAUUAAUAUUUUAAAAAUGCAACUCAGCCAAUCUAACAUAAUCUAAUGAAAUUUUGCAUUUUUUUUUUUAAAUCACCCAAAUUUCUGUUAUCGGAAUUUAUUCAUUAAUAAUCAAUAGUUACGAGAGAAGAACAUUAUUAAAAUAGGAUUAUUCAUUAUAUAUGACUAGUAUUAAGUACAUUAGUAACUAAUAAGAAUUGGUUUGAGUGGAAAGAAUUUGGAUCCUUUAAGCAAGAGAUCGAGCGACACGAAUAAAAUUAGAGUUAUUGUCUAAUGGGCUAGGGAUACCCGUCGCAUAAAUAAAAAAAUUAAGCGCAUUUGAACGUAUAAGUAUUAAGAUUAUAUUUAUAUAUAAUCUUAAAAAAAAUAAUAUGAGGAACAUAAUUGCUUCUGGCAUAAUUAUUAGCAAUAUAGGCAUUAUUACAUGAGAAAUUGACAUACGAAAGAGACAAAUAGACAGCAAAUAGAUUUGUUCCACAAUAACAUACACAGUAGUAGUGAAGUGACUCUUAGCAUUCAAAUCAAAACUAUAUAUAUCUCAUCAUCAUCACCAUCACCAUCACGAUCUUCUUCAGAACCCUAAUUUUGUGUUCAUGCUUUGUUCAACUCAAAUUGCAUUUUUAUCUUAUCUUGCAACUUUUUAUGAAAAAUGUAAGGGGGCCACCAGUAGACCAAAGAACUUGGAAAUGUCCAAUUGAAUGAAAUUUCAAGUCAUCCAGAGAAUUUCCAGAACAGUAAGUGCUGUACACUUGGCUUAUUGUUAUCAGGAAAUAGAAAAGUAGCCUUCUUGCUUUCAAAUUAAUGCCCUGUUUGCCACUAUUAGUGCUCUACACUUGGCUGUUCUUGGAGCUAUCCAUUUUUGUAUCUUUCUAUCAAUUAGGAGUGGCACUAAAAAAUUGUUGAAUAAGGAAAGGAAAAUGUGGGAGCUGCCAAUCAAGAGUAAUAUAUAUAAUAAAUUACAUUUCUAUUUAUGGGAGUUUAUUUUUUAAAAAACAAAGAAGGAAAAAUUAUAAAAAAAUAUUAAAAAAAAAAAAAAACUAAGAGAAGUCUCCUUUCUAAAUCUAAUAGGAAAAGAUGCAUUUACACAAGAGAAAGAGUCUAACUAAUAAUUUUUUUUUCAUUUGUUCAGAGCAUUUUCCACAUUCUUAUAUGAAUAAUCCAAAAACUGUGCAACUAAAGUCAAAUCCUUACUCGCCAAACAUGCCCCAAAUUUCAGAUAACUUUAUCCAAACUUCUUCCUUCCGACACAUACUCACGUAUAUAAUAAUACAGUAAUACACCUAAUCAAUUUGAUAUUGAUAUAUAACAUGUGGGUCGAAUCUGGUUCUACUCGGAUUUCAAACCCGACCCAGGAACAUUGGAAGAAAUUAGGAUUGCCUAACGAAGGAAUUUUGUAAAUUAAUGGGCCAAAGGUAGCCCAGGUUUGUCAAAUUCUUAUAGGGUUUAAAAUCUCCAACGCGGCCCAAAUAUUCUGUUAAGCCCAACAAUCUGUCUUGUCCUUCAAGUCGCCAACUUCACUGCACCUACUCAGGAGCCUAAAAACCAGAGACCAGUCCAGAGAGCUUUCUGUUAGAAUAACUGUUUAUAUUAUAUGAACUCGAUUUUUCUUAUUUUUUUCAAAAAAUGGAAUUUAUAAUCGAAGAAGGAAAGCAGCUUCAUGAAGAUUGCUCCACUCUAAUUAUGGUUAUUUCUUUUCUUUUUUUUUUUUUCACAAUUUUCAUAUUCUGAUAAAUUCUUUGAAGUUAGGGUUUGGUAGAGUAUAGCUCUGUUGGGAUGCUCGGAAAAUGUUUGGAUUUAAAAAAAAAAUCCUACCUUGUAUUCAACUUUAUAUUUAACAUUUUUUGCCUGGUUUGUUAGCCUGCUUUAUCGAUUGGAAAUGUGGGGCAGCUAGCUUUGGAUCUCUUAGUAUCGUCAACAAAAGCGCAGAGGAUUGGGCACUUGGACGAUCCCUACGUUCUUCCUUGUGUUGGUAAUGACGCCUAUGGGCCAAUUCCUUGUGGUGAACUUGCUCUACCUCUUGAAGGUCACUGUUUCAGCUUUUCAAUGUUGCUUUGGCAUUAUUAACUCUGAUAUUGCGAUUGUGAUAUUGAUGUUGUUGAGAAAUUUCUAUAUUACGAUUACUUUGAAAUUCGCGAGUUAUUGUUGCUUGUCUUCGGUCAUUUCUGCAGGGGUUGAAUGAGUAUUUUAUUUCAUAUGUUGCAGCUUAUGAUUCACCUGCUAAUGCAAUUACUCUUGUCCAACAACGAUCACCUGUUGUUCAGGUAGUAUUUGAAUUUAGUAUUUCGUUUCUAUAUCAAUUUUGAAAUGAACUCGUACAUCAUUAUUUUGUAGAUUGUGUGCGUAUCUGUAUGCUAAACGAAAAUGUUUCUAGUUCAAGUCUUGAAAAUUUGGGGGACUCCCUCCUCCAGUAUCUUGAUGCUUGGGGCUUAUGUUGUGCCUGUAGCUAAAACAAUGCAAAACUUGAAACUUUCUAGAAGGAGUUGUGGUGUAUAAAUACUUGUUUGCUUGAACAAAGGUUUAUUGGUCAUGAUGUGAACUUAUAUGGAAACAUAGAAAAAUCCAUGCUGAGACAAGCACCUUCAUAUGCUCAGGCCAUCCCUGUGCUAAAUUGGACUGCUAUAGAAGAGGAAAAAUACAGAGAAAUGAACCAUGUGGGAAAAAAAAGGGGAAAAAAGAAACGCAAUUAAUCACAAUUGGGACCUCAAUUCCAAUCCUUUUGCAUUGCGUGCUAACUAGAAUAGUGAGAGAGAAAGCCAAAGAGUUGAUUGGGAACACGCAAAUCAGAGUUUCAUUUUGCAUUUACAUCUUUCAUAUGUCUGUCAUCAACUUUGGAAAAACACUUGUAACCAGGCAUGUGAAAUUGAAUUCAUGAGUUGCUAUAUUUUAAAAUUCUAAUUCUGGCCACUCGCCUUUGGGAAAUUGUUGAUUGAUAAAAGUUGUUCAAACAGGGGAUGAUGCUCCAAUUUGCUAAAAACUUGGCAAAUUUUGCUGCUGCUAGUGGAACGAAGCACAUUGUUUUGCUUUCUGGCUUAGACUUUGGCAGAUGGCAAGGAAUUGAUACGUCAAGGUAUUUAGAGCUUCUUCACUGUGUGCUUAUCAGUUGUCAGUCUUAAAAUUAUUUGCGGUCAUCUGGUGCCCAGUCACUAAGGAUUCCUGGUCACCUGGUUAAGUAACAACAUGGUCUUUGUCCUCAAAGCUUAGUUACAUGUAUAAGAACUUCGUCAACUAUCUCUUUCUUCUGAAGAAGAUAAUAAAUGAUACAUUGAUUGGUAUGCUCAGUUUUUAAAUGGAAAGUUACAAAUCCAUUUUUCACUGAACCAUAUACAUUAAAAGCAUGAAUUCUUAACUAAUUCCUGUCAGGAAUGGACAGUUAAAAGUGGAUUUGCAUUAUAUUAGCACUUCCUGCCUUCCUGGCAUCCAAGCACUGAACUGAUUAUGCUUUUUGCGACUGCAUAAGUAUUUGAUGCUGUUAACUGUCAGUUUAUCAUUUCAGUGUUUUGCAGACAUAUUACCUAUCUAGUACCAAUAGUGACGGAUCAGAUGAUUAUUGUGAAAAACUUGGGUGGAAGAGACUGCAGGAAUACAACCCUGCUCAGAGGUCUUGGAAAUAUCUUAGUGCUUUGGCCGAAGGAAAUGCUACGGGAGAAAACAGAUUGCCUUUCGAAGAUGAACUAGAAGAAGAGGAUUACUAUCCAAGUUUGCCUUUUGCUGCUCUCUUUUCUUGUUUUAAGGUACCCUUUGUGAAUUUAAUUAGAAAAUAUCUUGAAUCAAGAAUAUUUGAACUCAUCCUAUUAUCUUUUUUGUUUGUAAGCCUUCAAAUUUGAUUUUACAUUUUGUGUUGUUGCUGUAACUUUUGUUUUCUUUGUAGUUCGUAGGCUGUCAUCAUUGUGUGAACUAUUGCACUACAAGUGUAUGUCUUUUUGCCAUAAGUUCCUAGAGUGUCUUCAUUGUCUGUCUAGCUUUCACUUGUUUGUCAUAGUGACUUUUUGAGUCUAAAUGUAAUGUUCAAUGCAAAUAGAUCAGAGGGAUUUGACUUGUGGUUCUUGUUUUCUGAAUCAGGCAAAAGGUUUGAAAGUUACAUGCUUAUUAUGUUACUGCUCUGAAGGAGAUAACAUACCUGAUGCUUUUCAUUUGGCUGAGGCGGCAUGCAAACUCUUGGGGCUGAGUCCAGAUAAUUUCCAUGGUGGGUUUUGCGAUAGACGUCUAUUUUAUUAGCAUUUUAUAGUUUAAUUUUGAGAAAACAUGAUUGAAAGCUUUGAAUUUCAUUUAGUAUGCUGAAAAUAAUAUUGUGCUUAGAGAUCAUUUUAUAGUAAUGAAACACGAGCAAUAACCCUGUUUUUUCUGUUUAUGUUUUCUUUUUUCAGGUGAUGAAGGUAAAUGGCUUAUCCCAUUUUCAUGGAAGACCGUGUACGGACCACCCCCAGAUAUGUCUAUCUUUUAAGCCUCUGAUUAACUAAACAACGGAAGGUAAUAUUAAUGACAUGCCUAGUGUUCUUCUCAGUUAGUGAGUUUCUUUUUUUUUUUUUUUUUAAAUCAAUUGUCAGUUAUUUUAAUCUCCCUUUUGGUUCAGUUUACCCCUUAGAUUUGCAAUUCAUGGGUGAUUGGCCUAAAAAGCUUCUAAAUUUAUCCGCUUUUUAUAGAAAUUGCACCUGAAUUUAGGGUGUAAUUUAAACCAAAAAAAAAAAUCAAUUUUAUAGCCUUUUUUUUUUUUUUUUUUUCCCUGAAUAACAAGUUCGUUCAUAGGGCAAAUUAGACUUUAGUUCCAAUCGAAAUCUUCAUCCUUUAAACUACCAUUCUCAACGGCACAUGCUGUGAAUUCACCCAUUUGAAGAUGCAGUGAAGAUGAAAGGCAUGGUUGCGUACACCCCAAACUAUAAAAAGUGAAAAAGUGAUGAUCAGUGCCAAUGUUUUAAAAAUAAUACUGCAACAAUUCAAAAUUUUCCUACACAUUACAUAGAACACCCAUCAGGAUAUAGAAAGCAAAAGGGAUUUCACUAACUAAUUGAGAAGUAGACUAUUUAAUCCAAGAAUUUGAUUCUUCACUUCAGAACCACAUUCCAUCUUCCAACAUAAUAGUUGCAUUGCACAUUAUUUAUA
rnacentral:lncRNA from 1 species